rnacentral:lncRNA from 1 species
UCCAGCAGAGAAACAAUAUCUUUGAGAGUUACUUUUCAGUAGAAAGUCUUUCACCUCCUUUGCUUUUGUGUGAGAAAAAUGGCUUACUCCAAGACUUUCCUUCUCAUUGGCCUUCUCUUUGCUGUUGUUCUCAUCCUGUCCUCUGAGGUUUCAGCUCGGGAUCUAGCUGAAACAUCCCAAACUCGUAAGUUAAAUUUCUUUUAGUAGAUGUAAAUUAAUGGCAUGUUAUGUGUUCAUAUAGAGAUGCUUUAUUAACUUAUUUAAAGUAAUAAAUUUCGUUUUCUUAAAUUAUGGCAGAAGUGAGCGUGGAGGAUGCGAAGUACGGUGGGUAUGGACACGGGUACGGCCACGGAAAAGGACAUGGGUACCAAAAAGGACAUGGGCAUGGGCAUGGGAAACCUGGUCAUGGGGGACCUGGCCAUCCACCUGGUCAUGGUGGUGCUGGUGAGGAUGUGGAAGAGGGGACGCAGAAUUAGUGUAAUCAAUCCUUAAUUAUGUGGGCUACGCAUGAUUAGGGUGUGUUUUAUGUAAGUUUAUGAAAGCGUGUGUAUCAAUAAGGCAUGUGGGCUUAGGGUUACUCUCUAAGACCAGCAUGGCUGUGUUGUAGCUUCUAUGCUUAAUAUAAUGCUUUUUCAUGUGCUGUGCUAAAAUGGAGUAUGAUGAAUGCCGUCGGGUGAUCUACCCUUUUUUUUUUUCUUGGGAUUAUAUUAUUUACUUCGGAGUAAUUUUGUUGAGAUAUGAUUUUGUGUAAAUAUACUUACCAUCAUUGGUUUCAAAUUAUAUUAGUUUAUACCCUCACCAACAUACCCACCUCAAAUCUUUACCUAAAAUUGAUCUAAAAACCUAAAAUUUAUCUAAAAAGUAAAUUGUGAACAUGCGAAAUUUAAAACCAGCAACAACUUAGGCUAUGUUUGGUUUUCGAAAAAUUUGAGGAAAAUGUAAAGGAAAGAAAAUAGAGAGGAAAAGUAAAAGGAAAGAAAAGGAAAAUAAAAAAUAGAGUUAAAGAUAAUAAAUCAUUUUUAUUUGUUACUUUAAAUUUAUAUUAUUUAUUUUAAUUUAUCAAUAUAAAAAUUAAAUAAUUUUAAAAUAUAUAAGUUUUUAAUUAAUUUUAAUUAUAUUUAAUUUUCUUUGUAAUAUUUUAUAGGAUAAUUAAAUAUGAGAAAAUCAUUUUUUAUCAUUUUUUUUUUCUUUUGUACUUUUCGGGAACCAAACAUAACUUUAGUGUAUUUACACUCAACCUUAAAAGUAUAAAUGAGAUUAAUUUUUAUUUGGAAUUAUUGGAAUUUGGAUUUGAAAAGAAAGAAAUUUUUUUUUUGAAUUGAGAAAAAAAUGAAGGUAAAAAGUAUAAUAACCAAUUAUAUAGUUAUAAAAAGAAUUUGCAUGGUAAAGCCUUUUAUUGAGAGGUCUUAGUUUUCUUUGAGAUAUUUUAAGUUGAAGAUUAUUGCAGUCAAUCCUAUUUUGUGGGUUAUUUAUAUAAAUUCAUUGAAAUUGUAGCUCGGGAGUAAAUGAAAUACAAAUAGGAUAUGCAUUCUCAGUCCUCUAUUUAAGAAACCAAAUGUAGUAUAAAAAAAAAUACUUAUGCAAUUUAAUAUAACAAUAAUACUUCCUAUCCAACACUUAGUCCAAGAGUUACUUAUAUUCCCAUUUUUAUAAGUAUACCAAAUAUAAUUAUUGUUGGUGCACAAUGAAUGAUUACUCGAUUUGGGUAGUUUUUUCCACUGGAUUGGAUGAUUUUGUAAAAAACGAGUCGUUGGAUGGUUGUUUUGGGCAUCCUUCUUCAAUGGUUAAGUUAGUUUGAGAAUUUUUAAGGCAAAUAUUUUGUAUGGGUUUAGAGUGUAUAUCUUUAUUUAUUUUUAACGUUCGAUGUUCUUUUAUAAUAGAGGCAUCUUAUAAUGGUGUUUAUAUUUUAUGAUUAUUAUUUAUUGUAGUUUUAGUGCAUGUUAGAGCAUAACGAUUUAGUCAUUGGAAAUGAUUGAUUAUUUAUAUUAUGAAAUAAUUACCUUUGAAAUGACACAUAAUGAUUGUAUUUAUAUUUUUACCAUUGGAAAAAUAAUUAUUGACUCUAAUUUGGUUCUAUGUUAGUCGGGCGAUACAAGUUGUAUCUAAAUCAUUAAAUGAUGAGAUUUUGAUUAUUGAAUGUGAAUAGAAAUGGAGGUGAUAAAAAUUUAAAGGCAUAAAUAAAUGGAAUUAAUGUAUAUAAAAAAAAAAGAUUUGAAAAUGGUUUAAGUGUUGGCAUGCGAGGGUGUCCUUUGUUAUCUAAGAUCGAUUUGAAGAGAAUUGAGAGGUCGGUGGACAUGAGGACAGAUAUGAGAAUGACGUGAGAUGGGACGUAAUCAUUCAAGAGAUAUCAUGUGAGUAGAAAUUAGAAUGUAGUGAACUUUGCCCAUGCAUAUGGAGUUGAAUUUUAAGCUCAAAUCCAACACCUGUCACCCAUGUGGCACUCUCAAUUGACAUAAUAGUGUUGUGUUUUGGACUUGGUGACGUGUGGAGGGACGUACGUAUACAUGAAUGGGCUGUUUCAGGGACUUUUCUCAAUAGUAUAGUAAUUUAAAAAAGUUAUGCUUAAAUUAUUAUAGUAGAAGAAGUUAUUACAAAUAUAUGGUAGUUUUUGCCACAUAGGAGAAAGGAGAGAGGAGAUAGGAGAGAGGGUGAACGGAUAAUUUUUUUUAAAAAAGGGAACUCGUCUCUUGAAGAGACGAGUUCCAUGAAAAAAAAAUAUAUAUUUUUUAAAAAAAAUUCCUAUUUACUCAAGGGAACUCGUCUCUUGACGAGUUCCAUGAAAAAAGACAAGGGAAAGACGAGUUCCUAGGGAAAAAAAAAUAUUUUUUUUAAAAUAUAUUUUUUAUUUAAAAAAAAUCCUAAAUUAAAUUAUAAAAAAAAUUUCCUAAAGGGAACUCGUCUCUUCAAGAGACAAGUUCCCAUGUAAAAAAAUUUUUUUUUUUUUUAAAAUAUAUAUAUUUAAAAAAAAAAAAUUUCCUUUUUUUUUAAUUUGGGAUUUUUUUAAAAUAAAAAAUAUAUUUAAAAAAAAAAUAUUUUUUUCCCAUGGGAACUCGUCUCUUCAAGAGACGAGUUCCCUUUAGCAAUUUUGAGAAAUUGUUUUUUUUUUUUUAAUAUAUAUAUAUUUAAAAAAAAUAUUUUUUUUACAUGGGAACUCGUCUCUUGAAGAGACGAGUUCCCUUUGGAAUUGUUUUUUUUUUUUUUUUUUAUUUGGGAUUUUUUUUUAAAAAAAAUAUUUUUUUUACAUGGGAACUCGUCUCUUGAAGAGACGAGUUCCCUUUGGAAUUGUUUUUUUUUUUUUUUUUUUUAUUUGGGAUUUUUUUUUUUUAAAAAAUAUUUUUUUCCUAUGGGAACUCGUCUCUUGAAGAGACGAGUUCCCUUUAGGANNNNNNNNNNNNNNNNNNNNNNNNNNNNNNNNNNNNNNNNNNNNNNNNNNNNNNNNNNNNNNNNNNNNNNNNNNNNNNNNNNNNNNNNNNNUUUUAUUUAUUUAAAAAUAUAUAUUUUUUUUUACAAGGGAACUUGUCUCUUCAAGAGACGAGUUCCCUUUAGCAAUUUUGAGAAAUUGUUUUUUUUUUUUUUUUAAUAUAUAUAUAUUUAAAAAAAAAUAUUUUUUUUACAUGAAGAGACGAGUUCCCUUUGGAAUUGUUUUUUUUUUUUUAUUUUUUUAUUUUUUUAUUUGGGAUUUUUUUUAAAUAAAAAAUAUAUUUUAAAAAAAAAUAUUUUUUUUCCCAUGGGAACUCGUCUCUUGAGUUUCCUUUAGGAAUUUUUUUUUUUUAAAAUAUAUAUAUAUUUUUAAAAAAAAUAUUAUUUUUACAUGGGAACUCCCUUUAGGAAUUUUGAGGAAUUGUUUUUUUUUUUUUUUAAUAUAUAUAUUUUAAAAAAAAAAUAUUUUUUUUUACAUGGGAACUCGUCUCUUGAAGAGACGAGUUCCCUUUGGAAUUGUUUUUAUUUUUUUAUUUUUUUUAUUUUUAUUUUUAUUUUUAAUUUGGGAUUUUUUUAAAUAAAAAAUAUAUUUAAAAAAAAAAAAUUUCCCAAGGGAACUCAGGAAAUUUUUAUUUUUUUUAAAUAUAUAUAUUUUUAAAAAAAAUAUUUUUUUUUUACAUGGGAACUCAUCUCUUCAAGAGACGAGUUCCUUUGAGGAAUUGUUUUUUUUUUUUUUUUUUAAUAUAUACAUUUAAAAAAAAAAAUAUUUUUUUUUUACAUGGGAACUCGUCUCUUCAAGAGACGAGUUCCCUUUGGAAUUGUUUUUUUUUUUUUUUUUAAUUUUUUAAUUUGGGAUUUUUUAAAUAAAAAAUAUAUUUUAAAGAAGAGACGAGUUCCUUUAGGAUUUUUUUUAAAUAAAAAAUAUAUUUAAAAAUUUUUUUUUUUCCCAUGGGAACUCGUCUCUUGAGUUCCCUUAGGAAAUUUUUUUUUUUAAAUAUAUAUAUUUAAAAAAAAAAAAUAUUUUUAAAAAAAAAAAAUUUUUUUUUACAUGGGAACUCGUCUCUUCAAGAGACGAGUUCCCUUUAGGAAUUUUGAGGAAUUGUUUUUUUUUUUUUUAAUAUAUAUAUUUUAAUUAGGAAUUUUUUUUUUAAAUAUAUAUAUUUUUUUAAAAAAAAUAUUUUUUUUUACAUGGGAACUCGUCUCUUGAAGAGACGAGUUCCCUUUGGAAUUGUUUUUUUUUUAUUUUUUUUUUAUUUUUUAUUUUUUUAUUUGGGAUUUUUUUAAAUAAAAAAUAUAUUUAAAAAAAAAAAUAUUUUUUUUCCCAAAGGGAACUCGUCUCUUCAAGAGACGAGUUCCCUUUGGAAUUGUUUUUUUUUUUUUUUUAUUUUUUAUUUUUUAUUUUUUAUUUGGGAUUUUUUUAAAUAAAAAAUAUAUUUAAAAAAAAAAAUAUUUUUUUCCCAAAGGGAACUCGUCUCUUCAAGAGACGAGUUCCCUUUGGAAUUGUUUUUUUUUUUUUUUUUUUUUAAAUUUGGGAUUUUUUUAAAUAAAAAAUAUAUUUUAAAAAAAAAAUAUUUUUUUUCCCAUGGGAACUCGUCUGAAGUAGGAAUUUUUUUUUAAAUAUAUAUAUUUUAAAAAAAAAUAUUUUUUUUUACAUGGGAACUCGUCUUUUUUUUUUUUUUUUUUUUUAAUUUAGGAUUUUUUUUAAAUAAAAAAUAUAUUUUAAAAAAAAUAUAUUUUUUUUCCCAUGGGAACUCAUCUCUUGAAGAGACGAGUUCCCUUUAGGAAUUUUUUUUUUAUGGGAUUAUUUUUAAAUAAAAAAUAUAUUUAAAAAAAAUAUAUAUUUUUUUUUCCCAGGGGAACUCGUCUCUUCAAGAGACGAGUUCCCUUUAGUUCCAAAUUGUUUUUUUUUUUUUUUUUAAUUUGGGAAUUUUUUAAAAAUAAAAAUAUUUUUUUAAAUGGAAACCCGCCCCUUGGAGAAAAGAGUUUCCUUGAAAAAUGGUUUUUUUUUUUUUUUUUAAUUUGAAAAUUUUUUAACAAUAAAUUAUAUAAUUUUUUCCAGGGAACCCCCCUCCUGAAAAGACAAGCUCCCCAAAGAAAAGGGGAAUUUUCUUAAAAAANNNNNNNNNNNNNNNNNNNNNNNNNNNNNNNNNNNNNNNNNNNNNNNNNNNNNNNNNNNNNNNNNNNNNNNNNNNNNNNNNNNNNNNNNNNNNNNNNNNNUUUUUUUCCCAUGGGGAACUCAUCUCUUGAAGAGACGAGUUCCCUUUAGGAAUUUUUUUUUUAUGGGAUUAUUUUUAAAUAAAAAAUAUAUUUAAAAAAAAUAUAUAUUUUUUUUCCCAUGGGAACUCGUCUCUUCAAGAGACGAGUUCCCUUUAGUUCCAAAUUGUUUUUUUUUUUUUUUUUAAUUUGUGAAUUUUUUAAAAAUAUAUAUAUUUUUUUUAAUGGGAACUCGUCUCUUGAAGAGACGAGUUUCCUUGAAGAAUUGUCUUUUUUUUUUUUUUUAAUUUGAGAAUUUUUUUACAAAUAUAUAUAUAUAUUUUUUCAUGGAACUCGUCUCCUGAAGAGACGAGUUCCCUUAAGUAAAUGGGAAAUUUUCUUAAAAAAAUAUAUAUAUUUUUUUUCAUGGAACUCGUCUCUUCAAGAGACGAGUUCCCUUUUUAAAAAAAAUUUAUCGAUUCACCCUUUCUCCUAUCUCCUCUCUCCUCUCUCUCACCUUCUCUCCUAUCUCCUUUCUCCUCUCUCCUAUGUGGCAAAAACUACCAUAUAUUUGUAAUAACUUCUUCUACUACAAUAAUUUAAGCAUAACUUUUUUAAAUUACUAUAUUAUUGAGAAAAGUCCCUGUUUCCAGUUUCCAACUAUGUCAUUAAAGGAAGGUUCAUGAUUUUUUUGGAACUUUAAAAUGAUAUGACAAACACAGCGUAGCAUUUUUCUUAAAAGGAAAUCCAUAUAAAACAAUUUAUAUUUCUAAUUACCAAAUUCUUCGUACCAAUAUUUAGAGUGUUUGAUAAUAAUUAUAAAAAAUAUUUAUACUUUUUUUAACACCAAAAUUUUUUUAUCUUUCACAUAUAAAAAAGUUAAAAAUACUUUCUAAAACUUUAAUACAUUCAUUUUCAUUUGAAGUGGGUAAUCGAGGCAAUGUUUGUCUUUUUCUUUUUGAAUUGUUGCUAUCUUUGAGUUAAUCCUUUGGAGCCUCAUUCUACAGUAUGAAGAGAAGAACAAGUAAAAGUGGUCCUCCAUCAGUAAGUUAUUAACAAUUACCCAAUGGCAAGGUGGGAAAUUUGAUAGGAUAAAAAAAAAAAUCCUUAAAUGGACAUUUCAUUCAUUUGAAUAACAUGGAAAUGAAAUCCCAUGAGUGAAAUUUUAAUUCUUCCUAAUUAGGGGUAUUUUAAUUCCAUAGUAUAACUUAUUUUUAAAAUUACUUUUCAAAAAUUAAAAAAUUAAAGACCUUUUUAGAUAAGUUAUUUUUAAAAUUAAUUUUUAUUUUGAUUUUGUAAAACAUACAAAUUUUAGAUUCAAUUUAUAUAAUAUAAAUUAAGGGUGCUUUUGACAAUGACUCUAGGAAGCCUUUUUUUUUUAAUCCUAAAAUGUGUUUUUGAAAAAAAAAUAAUUAGGUGUUUGACAAAUUUUAGGAAACACUUUUAAAAAUUUGAAGAGUGUGUUUGACAUUGAUUUUAUAAAAUAAUUUUUUUUUUUACAUUUUUAAUACUUGAAAAAUAAAAUUUUUAUAGUGUUAGAAAAAUUAAAAGUGCCUCUUAGAAUCACUACCAAAUGGGGUCGAAAAAUUACUUAUAAUGUUUUUUUAGACAAACACUUGAUAGAUGAUUAUCCUAAAAACACUUUUAAAGAAAAUACUUUCACUAAAAACAUUUCUGAGUAGUAACAUUAAUUGAUUUAUUUUGUUAAAAAUAAAUAAUAAUAAUUUCCAAUACUAUUUAUAUGAUUUUAUAAAUAUUAUAAAAAUAUGGAUAUUAACAUAUUAUAAAAGCAUAAUUAAUUUAUUUUGUUAAAAAUAAAGAAUAAUUAUUCAAAAUUAAUAAUUGCUAAUACUAUUCUAUUUUAAAUAAAUAUAAAAACAAACAAAAUUUAAAAUUUUAAGUUAUAAAUGAGCUAAAAUUUUCAAUAUGUAUGCAUUUAUUACUUAAUUAUGAAGAUGACAUUGUGAAUUAUUUUAUUUGAUCUAUAAUUAAUUAAUUAAUUAUUUAAAUUUUGAAUUAUUCUUAAAAAAUUAUAUAUAUGUUUUAAAUUCUUUAAUAAAUCUUAUCAUUUUUAAAAGCAAAGUAAAAUAAAGAAUUGUUCAAUACAAAGUCUUGUUUAAUUUGAAAUUCAUUGUUAGGAAAGAAAAAAAAAUUCAGAAGAACAGUUCUCUAUUUUACUUUGCUUUUAAAAAUUGUGUUUAAAGAACAACAACCAUAUAGUGAUAUAAAUUUUUAAAAACAAUUUUGUUUUUAAAUCACACGACCAAAUAGGAUUUUAUUACCGGGACCCCAGAUCUUUCUGUUCUCAUACCUUGGAUCGUAUAGGUGCAUGUAAACUACUCUAUGCCUUUAGAUCUUAUGUAAUGGAAGCAAAAAAUAAAAUUUUAAUAUUCUAAGAUAUAAAGAAAAGUCAUUAGAAAACUUUACCUUUAAUUUAAACGUUUUCAAAUCAAUUUCGCUCAAUGAAGUUGAAGCUUGAACAGUUCGAAGGUCUCGUACACCCAAGAUUUUCCUCUCAAUGACUCGAAUUACGAUCUUAACACUCCAAAGUGUAGGCUUUGGGAGGGAGGAAUCCUAGGCUCUUUAUCUUUAGAGGUAGAAGACGACUAUCUUUCAAAGUGAUGAAAACCCUAACUCCUAGGGGGUAUUUAUAGAGUUUCCUUAUUAGGCUUAAGUGACUUGAGCCUACCAAGGCUUAAGUGACUUGAGCCUACCAAAGCUUAAGUCAUUUAAUUUAGUCUAAAAUGGGUCCUAAUUAAUUAAUUAACUAUAUAUGUCUAUUUAAUUAAUUAAUUCGCACAUUUUAAAGAACUUGUUUGCUAUUCCCUAUGCAACCUUGCAUAAUUAUCAAAAUGCUCUUAUGCACAAAAGUGAAUUGAGAGUCAAUCCAAACCUCAUAAACCGUACCACCAUGAUAUAUGAGCUCAGAGUGGGGAUUAUUGGGACCAAUAGGAGUAUUGAUUUCCUCAAAAUCCAAAUAUGAAGUUGAUUCAAUAUUCCAUUAAAGAGAAUCAACCGCACUUUUAGUACCUUAUAUAAAUAUUAACGAGACAAAACUCAGGCUUGUGACUUACUAUCCACUGUAUGUAAACUUCUCAUGAACUGAUGUUUGUAAUUUAAUAAGGUAGUAUUAUUAUCUAUCAAGAUUGCCUCUAUAAUCCUUGAGUUAUAGAUCUCAUUUAUCAUGUAAUCAAUUGACAUACUCUAACUCUAAGAAGUAUAUGUAAUGCCCUAAACCCAAGAGUAAAAUCAUAAUUUAAAAUAAUAAAUAAUUUAAUAAGGGUAAAAAUGUCUUUUCUUAUUUAAAAUUCCUACGUAUAAAUUAAAUAUUUUUUAUAUUCUCUACUCAAAAAAUCCUUUUACAUGUAGAUAGAAAAUAUCAAAGAGCGUAGGGUUUGAAUAUCAAUUUUUCAGGUAAGAUUUUAAUUCUUAAAUUAAUAUUUUAUAUUUGUUAAUUAGUUUUAAACACUUUAGAUAUCUUUUUGGAAGAUCUCAAUCUAGAUUAUGGUUUGUUAAAUUAAUUUUUAGAUCAAAAGACUGAAAAUUUAUGAAUGUGGAUUAAUUUAUGAUGAAAAUAUGAAAAUUUAGAAAAUUUUAAUUGAAUAGAAAAAAAUGAAUAAAAAAUCAAUGGAAGAAAAAAAAUUUUAAAAUUUUAAAAUAAAUAAAUAAAUUGUUUGUGGAGGCUUUAGAUUGGAAAAAAAGAAAAGAAAAGAAAAUGUGUAGAUAUAUUUACCAUGUGAAAAAAAUAAUAAAAUAAAUAAAUAAAUAUAAUGGGAGGCGUGUAGGUGGUUUUGUAGAAUGUUGUGGGAUUAAAAAAAUAAAAUAAAAUGAAAUUGGAGGACACCUGUGUUGCCAAAGUGUUGAGUUCACUAUAAGAAAAAAGGGUAAUAAUGACGCUUUUUAGGCGUCAAUAAAUGUAUACGAUGACGCUUCUCGAAAGCGUCCUUUUCGCCUCUGUCAAGGAAUGGGUGCAGGCAACCAUGUCGCUUCUAGACAGCGUCAUUGUUGAUUGGUUUAUAUUAACACGUUAAAAAACGUCAUUAUUGAUCUACCUAUGUUAACACUUACACUAGCGCCAAGGAAUGGCCAAAAUAUCAUUUGUCUAUUUCGACGCUAAAAAAAGUGUCAUCUUAUGUGGAUAAUAAUAUUGAAAAUCCCCUUGUUGAAAUGAUAUAUUUUGUAUGUCCUGUUAUAUAUAAUUUUGGCUGCAUGAUUAUUUAUAAAGUAUUAAACAAUAACUUCAAUAUUAAUAACUACAUCUUCCAAAAGAAAUUGAAUAAAUUUGGGAAUAAUAUAAUGAUAAAGAACUAAUGUCUACAUAGUUAAUUAAUACGCAAAUUUGUAAAUGUAUCAAAAUAUUUACAAGCAUAUUUUCCAACUUCAACAUAUAUAAAACAAGUACACAUGUACCAAAAAGCAAGGUCUCCAAAUUCCUUAUCAAAAAUAAUAUUACAAGAAGAAGAAGAAGAAGCCAAAAGUAUUUAUAGCCAAAAGUAUUUUUGUUUGGUAGCAUAUCCACUCCUGAACUUGAAAUCUUUUACCUGUAUACAUUUAAAAAAAAAAUAAUAGAAGAAACAAAUUAUGUUUAGUUAAUAUACAUGCAAUGAAAGUUAAAUCUAAAUCUAUAAAUGGUCCAUGAAAGAAGUGCAAAUGAGAAUAACUUGGUAUUUAAUGAGAUGUUAUGCUUCAAUGAAGAUGAAAAAUUGUUUAAUUUGAUACUUGUUUAUAAAAUAUUAAAAUACUUUUUUAGUUCAUUAUUAAGUUAGAGGAAACAAGUUAGGCUUUCAAUGGUAUAAAUUCUACAAUAUGGAAUGUAAUAUAAUAUUUUCUUAUCUAUGUCUAACAUAUCAAACUCAUUUCUCAGAAAUAAAUAUAUGAAUAUACCAAUAGGUAUGGUUUAUAAUUAGUUUCAAUCAUAAAUCAUCAUAUCUAGUAAUAUAAGACAUUUAAUAUUAACCAUUUGCAAAUGCCUUAAUUUCUUCUUACAACUUUCCUAUAUUACCAAAUUUAGUUAACUAAUAACAUUCCAUAAGGAAAAAAAGAGUAUUAAACUAAAAAUUAAAAGAGCAUAACCAAGGCAAUAGAAACCUACAAAUCAUUGGUUAAAUGUCAUAAUAACAACCAUUCUAAAACUUGCCUUUAUUUUCAAUUCCAAAAUUAUAACCCAAAUAUAAUAAUUAACCCUACACAAAAAAAAGCUCUCUACCAUCCCUCCAUCCAACAACAACCUGUUGAUGCAACAACAAUAACUUCUCCAUACAACAAUAACAAUUUCUCCAUGUAACAACAACAACAACAACAAUAACAAUAACAAUAACAAUAACAUUGAUGAUCAAUGGUGAUAAUUAUAUUAGUAAUAAUUUGAUUUGUUUAGUCCAAACAUAUAACAAUAACAACUUCUCUAUGCAACAACAACAAUAAUAAUGACAACAUUGAUGAUCAUGAUAUAAUAAUUUGAUUUAUUGAGUUCACAAAUUAUAUGCUUCUUCUCCAUACAACAAUAACAAAAAUAACUUCUCCAUGUAACAACAUUGGUGAUGAUGUAAUAAUUUGAUUUGUUAUAUUGAAAUAGUUUAUGUAUAAAACUAUUAUAUUCUAUCACUAUGGAGGAAAAAAUUACUUAUCAUGAGAUGAGAACUUAUGAGAAUCGUCAAAAUGUGAUCUACAACUCUUACUGGACUGAAAUGAGGGCAUCUGCAUACAUAAGAUGGUAAAUUAAAAAAAUUAGUCCAUUCAAGACUUCAUUAAUAAUGAAAAUCAAGCAUUUUAGAUGUUAAUUUAUACCUUCAGGCAUGGGUAAGAAUCAAUUGAGUUGCCAACAUAACCCACUCAGAUCGUACUUCAUUAAGCUCAACUUCACUAUACGAUUUUUUCCCUUUAAACUAAUAAUUAAUUGUACAUACAUGAUGAUUAGUUAAGUUAACAAAAAAUUACUAAAGUAUAGAAACUAAUAAAAUUUAUUAAUGAGUAUAUACAUUUGUGGAUAGGAGGCUUGGAUCAACAAUUAUAUCUUUCAUGUAUCUCAUCACAUAAUAACCACACUCCACACUUCCUAGUUGUCCUGGGCACUAUAGGCACACAUAUGAAUUAUNNNNNNNNNNNNNNNNNNNNNNNNNNNNNNNNNNNNNNNNNNNNNNNNNNNNNNNNNNNNNNNNNNNNNNNNNNNNNNNNNNNNNNNNNNNNNNNNNNNNUAUCUUACUCUAACCAAAUUAACUUACCACUACUUUUACCCAUGUCGGCUCCCUCUUUGAUGAUCUUUGUUUCUCUGGUGGAUGAAUUCGUAGUGCCCUACAUGGAAAAGAAAAUUAACAUUUUAGAUACUAUGCACUAUAUUCAAGUAUGGAAAUGAAGACACUUACAUGUUAACAAUUUCCUUAAGAUCAUCACAUGGUUGCUUUUGCAUCGGAUCAAGGUAGUACGCAGUCAUUGUCCUCAUAUCCAAUGCCACCAAGACCCAGUGGAAACUAUAAUAGUACAUUAGAUAUUAUUUAGUAAUUAGCAUUGAUUAAGCUAUUUAACAUUAAAAAAAAACUUAAUAUUUUUCAUAACUUACUCAGGGUUAUAUGGAAUAAAAAUGUAGUCAGCACGCUUUGCAUGCAUUAAACGAUUUGCAAUCAACCUUGACCUAUUUUCCUUUGUUGUCUCACCCAUUCCAGCUUUAGAGACUAAAGCUGGAUUGAUAAAAGCAAAUCGUUCGGUGAGCCUUGCAUUACUUAGCUUUUUCUGUAGGUGCCUGUUUAAAUUCCACAUACCUUGAUAAGAAAUGACCAUUUUACUUUUAUAUAUAUAUAAAUUAACACACAUUAGCAAGUUAUAAAAUUAUUUACCAUAUAUAAUAUAUGACACAAUUAGCCGACACUUUCUUAAAUGAAAUUAUCAUAUCCAUGUCUUCUUUCAUAAGGAAGGUCUUAAAACUCUCGCCAAAUACAUCAUUUGGGACCUCCACACCUUGUGCUUUCCCCUCAUUUAGCAUGAGACCUACUAAUGCAUCAAAAUUGUUGAUAUCUUGAGGGUUUUCACCAAUUUUCAAGUCAUUUUCUGUUGUUUUUUGUCUUUUCCCUUUGUGAGAUCCCUAUAAAAGAAAGCACCAUGUUUUCAAAUGAUAUACAUAUCUUUAUAAACUAUUUCAAAUGAAAAUAACACACCUUAAUGAAUUUAGUACUCAAAUUGACUAAAUGGGUUGGCCAUAAAACUUGGUAGCCCACUACCGCUCCAAUUGUUGUAGCUUGUCCAGGAAUGGGAAUAGGAAGUGGUGUAUUUGACUUAUAGGGAGCAUCCAAAACAACUAGGUAGUUGGGCCCACAAUCCAUUACAAUUAUUCCACCAGCCACUGUAUUUUCUCUGGUCCCUACUGCUAACUCACAUUUUCUUGCCUUCAAAAGUAAAUUAAAUUGUUAAUUUCAAUAUAAAAAAGAAUCAAUAAAUGAAGUUUAAAGUGCAUUGACUAUGUUAGGGCUAUAUUUAAGACAUAAAGUUACAUAUUUUAUAAGUAAUAGUUGUAGUGGAAUAGAAUAUUACUAGUAGUAAUUAUGCUGUAAUAGAAUCUACCUAAAAUGUAAGUAUCAAUCUAACAAAAAUAAAAGCAAUUGGAAGAAAUUAUUUAUGAAAAUUAUCUAGGAAUUUGUGACAAUUACGUCAUUGAACUAGGAAAUGUAAACUAAAAAUAACACACCUUCAUGUGUGGUUCUAUUUUCACAGGUAAGGUCUCCUCUUCAACUUUACGAAUUGGUUUCUCCACUACUUCUGGUAGAAGCAACAGUUUUGAUUUCAUGUUGGAACUACUCACAUCGGAUUGUGGUGUAGCAACUCCUAUCUGAGAUAGUCUCGCUAACACAUCAGCCUCAAACUUAACUUGACGUUCUUGAGUUGCUUUUAAAAUAUCCCUCACAACACGUUCUGACAUACUAUUGAAAUAUCAUCCAGGCGUGUAGUGCUUCCCUUUAGCUCGAACCCAACCAGUAUACUCAGGAGUACCUAGUGCUUGAGAAAGUAUGUCAUUGCUCCCACUAUAGCUUAUGCCACUCUCUUGAGACUCUUUUAUCAAUUCAUCCUAAAACAAAAGGAAGUUAUGAAGUUAACUUUCAAAUAAGUAAAACCAAAUAAGGUGUUUAAAGAUGUGAUUUUUGGGUACAAAAUGUCUACUUACUAUUUUUUCCAUUACCGGUAGGACCACAUCAUCAUAGUUGCCAUCUUUUUUUUGCAUUGCCCUCUUCCAAAGUAAACUUCUAUCAAUGCUUUCUAUGGAGCCAGCUUCAAUCAUCUAAUAGAAAUGGAAAAUUAAAGAUAGUUAUUAGAUGACACAUGUGGUUUUAUUUCUAUUUUUUUGUCAGAAAAGAAACAAUUAAGAAACCCAUAUAAAAUAUUCCUUCAUUACUUAUACAAUCAUAUAAAAUUAAACCACAAUAAGAACUAACAAAAACUUACCAUCUCUUCUUCAAGUCCAGCAUACCCUUUUCUACUUAGAUGAUGAUUAUAUAUAUGCUUCUUUCUUCUCUGUUUUUGUACUUCCCUAUAUUCCUAAAAAUUAAAAUGGAUGCUUAGUAUAUAUAUGUGGAUGCAUGUAGUAUGUUUAAUGUUAAUUGUAUUUGUACCUGGAAUUUUUCAGACAACCUAGUUUUCACAAAAAUAUUCCAAUCUUCAUCAUCGAUAAAAUGAUAUUCAGCUGGUGGUUUCUUAAGAAGCUCUGGCUGAUCUUUGAAAGGAAGAAUAUGUUUCACAGUCAACGUGUUCUUAAAAGAUCGAAAACAUUUUCCCAAUGUAAGCAUACAAUUCCUUCUACUUUUCUUGUCUAAUGUAAAAGCAAUCUACAAAUUAUAAAGUCAUUAGUUUCUCAAAAUUUGAAAGAAAUAUAGAGAUUGUAGAAAACUUAUUUAUGUUAAAAAAAAAAGUAACCUCAAUAGAGUCCCACAACUUAUCCUUCAAUUGUUCAGGGACAUCUCGCCAUGUGUUAUAUCUGAUUGGUACCAUCGUACGUGCCAAUACACCUAAGUAGCUUGUUAGGUGCACAGAAGAUUCUCCUACAUAGAUACCAUCAACAUUGUACUUUAUGACCAACUUUAUCCCUCUAUUCCUAUUCCUUAUAAUCAUGGAUUUCCUUGUUGUCCCUCUAUAUUUUUUUUGUGAAGGGGUUUUCUCUUCCUUUGAAUCCAUGCCUAUAACACAUCAAUGAGAAAUGAUAAGUAUACCCAUUAAUUGCAAGUAAAAUUGAAUUUUUUAUAACAUGAACUCAUAUUAGUAACAUGAACAUACUAGGAACAUUUUACAUGCUAGAUAACAAUAUUCACAUGUUGUCAUGAAAUAUUUAAAAAUAAUAAUAAUAAAAACUUACUAGAAGAUCCUCACCAAACUUUUUUCUUAUGGAACUAGAAAUCAUAAGCUUUGAGCUGAGACAAAUUGAUAUCCUUGUAUUACCCUUUAGAUCACUCUGAGAUAUGUGUAUAAUAAUAAUCAUGAAAUAGGGAAUCAAUAAAUUUAGAGACAUGAUGAAUUUAAUCCACUUAGAAAAUAAAUAAGCUAUUUACUGAAAUGCAGAAUUUCAAUAUUAACAAGUUAAUGGGAUAGUUACAACCUUCAUAACAAAACAACAAGGUCAUAAAUUUAGUUACAUAGAAGAUUUGUUAUCAAUCCAGAAUCCCUCACAGUCUCCUCGAAUGCAAAUGACAUCAGAGUCAUCCAUUGUAUCAAAUGAUUCAACUUGUGCCAAGGUGGUAAUGAGAGGAUGGUGUUCAAUAGAAUUAUCCAUGAAGUCAUCAGAAUCCUUUGCUGAAAAUGAGAAGUCCCUUUCAGGAGUUGACAAAACAACUGACCAUCUUGGAUCAAGUUGGUUUUGUACAUAGAAUACUUGCUUGGCUUGGGAGGCUAAAAUAAAUGGAUCUGAUUUAUGAGCCAUCUUAGUGAAGUCAACUAAUGUCAGCCCAAACUCAUCAACUUUGAUGCCGCUCUUAUUAUCAACCCAAUUACAUUUGAAAACUGGAAUCCUAAACAUGGUAUAAUCAAGAUCCCAUAUCUCAGUAAUAAUACCAUAGAAACAUAGCUCACUAAAUACUGGAUUCUUAUCCUUGGCACUAGAAAUUUGCAUUGUUGUUGCUACAAUGCUAACUCCACUAUUCUGGGUAACUCGUAACUCAUCACGGUCUUUUGUGUUGUACUGACACCCAUUUAUAACAUAGCCAUGAUACUUGGCCACGUAGUGGGUAGGACCAUGUGCCAUCCAUCUUAAGGUUUCAGAUAUAGGUUCUUUGUCAGCAAUGACAACUUCUACCUGUUUGAAUGGACCAUAGUUAUUAAUAUUUUUUAUGAUAAGUGCUAAGAAUGGUGCAAUUUUUAGAAUAAAUUCAAUACCUUUUUUCGCAACCAAUGAGUGAAUGUUCGCAUGUGUUCUUCUUGUAGCCACUUUUGUCUCUUAGAUUGACGAGGAUUGUUCAAUUUCAACCAUUUCAUGUGUUCUCUAUAAGAUAUGUAUAAGAAAGUAACAAUAAGUUUCCAAAAUUAGUUUAAGUAAUCUACACAUAAAAUCAAAAUAGUUGACCCUUACUCGAUAUAAGGUUGGAUGAUAGUUGUAUUUUCCAACACAUAAUGAUGUGCUUGCAACAAAAAAUUACAAUCAACUUCGGUGAUAUGACCUCCAGGAAUAGGCGCCCCAACUUUAUGGUCAACAUUAGUGCUACUAGGAACUCCAAUUGCAUCCACAUUUGAUAAGUACUCUGUACAAAAUUCAAUAGCUUCCUCUGCAAUGUAGCAUUCAACAAUGCAACCUUCAGGGUGGUUACGGUUUCACACAUAACCCUUUAAUACUUUCAUGAACCUUUCAAAUGGGUACAUCCAUCUAAAAUAAACCGGUCCACAAAGUCUCACCUCUCUAACAAGAUGAACCGUUAAAUGAAUCAUGAUAUCAAAGAAGGAUGGCGGAAAGUACUUUUCAAGCAAGCGCAAUGUCACAACAAGUUCAUUUUGUAACUUAUCCAAUGUAGACACAUCAACCACCUUCUUACAUAAAGCAUUGAAAAAAAGGCUCAAUCUAGCAAUAGCAUGUCGUACAUGCUUUGGCAAAAGUGAUCGCAAUGCCACUGGUAACAAUUGUUGCAUCAGUGUAUGAUAAUCAUGAGACUUCAGGCCAUAAAGGUUCAAAUCUUCCAUUGACACAAGAUUUCUAAAGUUUGAGCAAUACCCUUCAGGAACCUUUAACUCAGCUAAAGUUUGACAAAAUACUUUCUUCUCCUUUCUAGACAAUGUAUAACAUGCAAGCGGAAGGUAAGUUCGAUUCGAUUCAAACCUUAGUGCCAGUUUACACCUUAAGCCCAUGUCCAUAAGGUCCAGACGAGAAUUGAGUCCAUCUUUUGUCUUCCCUGGGAUGUUAAGUAAUGUACCAAUGAUGCUUUCACAAAUAUUUUUCUCAAUGUGCAUUACAUCCAAAUUAUGACGAACAUGCAAAUAUCUCCAAUACUCAAGUUCAAAGAAUAUAGACUUUUUCUUCCAACAAUUGGUAUAAGUCACAUUGGAUUUUUCAUGUCUUCCCCUUUUUUUCCCCCAUGAAUUACAAAUGACAUUCAUUUUCAAUAGUAUUUCCUCUCCACUUAAUGGUUGUGGAGGUGAUCGAAACUCCUGCUCACCAUUGAAUGCCUUUCUAUGUUUUCUAAAAGGAUGAUUGCAUGGAAGAAAACGUCUGUGGCCUGUAAAUGAGUUCUUUCUCCCAUGCUUUAACCUAUGUGAAUAGGUUUCCGGUCCAUAUAUUGGACAAGCAAAAUAUCCUUUGACUAUGCAACCAGAUAAGUUUCCAUAUGCAGGAAAGUCAUUUAUUAUCCAUAAUAGAACAACCCUUAAUGUAAAGACCCCUCUUUGAUAUGCAUCAUAAGCUUCUACCCCUAUCUCCCACAAGGUUUUAAGGUCCUCAAUCAAUGGUGCUAAAUAGAUAUCUAUGUCAUUUCCAGGUUGUUGUGGACCCGAUAUUAACAAAGAUAACAUCAUAAAUUUUCUCUUCAUGUACAACCACGGUGGAAGGUUAUAAGUGAUCAUGACAACUAGCCAACAACUAUACCUGCUGCUCAAAGAACUAUGGGGAUUUAUGCCAUCUGCUGAAAUGACAAGUCUAAGGUUUCUAGGUUCUGCAGCAAAAUCAGGCCAUCUAUGGUCAAUUACCUUCCAUGACGGCGAGUCGGAUGGAUGACGCAUUUUUCCAUCAAAUUCUCCACCUUCUGCAUGCCAUAUGAGGUCUUUUGCAAUUUUUGAGGACCGAAACAUUCUUUUAAAUCGUGGGAUAGGUGGAAAAUACCACAUUACUUUAGCAGGAACUCCUUUACUCUUUUUGCUUCCUCUUCUAUUCACCUUCCACCUUGAAGCUCCACAUGUAGGACAUGAAGAUGCAUCUUUUAACUCAUUCCUAAAAAGUAUGCAAUCAUUGGGACAUGCAUGUAUUUUUUCAUAUUCCAUUUCCAAUGCAUUCAAUGUUUUUUUUGCUUCAUACAUAGACAAUGGCAACUCAUUGUUUACAGGCAACAUAUCACCAAGUAAGCUUAAUAGCUCGGAGAAGCUUUUAUCAGACCACCCAUAUCUUCUUUUCAGAUUGUAUAAUUUAACUAAAGUAGAUAAUUUGGUGAAGUUUUUGCAAUCGAGAUACAAAGGUUUUUCAGCAUCUUCAAGCAACCUUUCAAAUAAUUUUGGAUUAGCCUUACAAUCAUCUUAUGCAGCUUCAACCAUUUCUACUGUAUGAUCCACAUUACCAAUAUGAAUUCUAUCAAAACAUUCAACCCUUGUAGUUAGGGGUCCACUACUUAGAGCUGCCUCCCCAUGCCAAAACCAAGUAUGGUAACUUUGGUCAAUUCCAUAAAAGAAUAGGUGUUCUCUAAUCUUUUGAGGAGUAUUGAAGAUCAAAUUUCCACACUAUAGACAUGGGCAUUUGAUGGAGUUUUGAUUUGCAGAAUUUUGAACUGCAAAUGAAAUGAAAUUUUCAACCCCAUCCUCAUAGUCUUUUGAUCUUCUAUCUUUUGACAUCCAGGAACGAUUCAUUUGCCUAUAAUAGUUGAACACAAUUCCUAUAUAGCAAACAUAAGCAAACAAUGGAAAUGGAAAAGACUUAGAAAGUUACCUUUAGAAAACACUCAAAACUUUCAGUUUCUCAUUUGUGACAUCCAAAAUUUCUUUUAAACUUUCUAUGGACAAACAAUUAGGAUUCAAGUGCAAUAAAAAAUUUGAACCUCAUCCUUAAUAAAAAAAAUGAUUAACAAUAUGACAAUAGAACCUUUUGAUGCAUGUUUUUAUGCCUUUUAACAUGUCCAUCAUCCAAAAUCAGGUAGUUGUUCCUAUCCCAUGUAGGAAUACAUAAUCCCUAUGUGUUAAUUGCCAAUAUACUCAAUUUCAUUUUAAAGAAAUUUUGGCAGCAUUUCCCCAUAGUUCUCCAAGUACACAAAAUGAACAAGGUAUAAUAUGUGACCUUGUUCAAAUAUGCACCCAAAGAACAAGAGGAAAUACUACCAAAAUUUCUAAAAAGUGAAUUAAGCACAAGCAAUUAACUUCAUAGAUAUUAUGUUUUCCUACACUGUCCAAUCGGACAAUUCAAACAUCAUUGCAAAAAAAAUAUCUUUAUCACAUUCUAGACAAUUUAAAAGUUGUCAACUUGAAAGUGGCUUAGGUAAAACCUUUUUCACCUUUGACAACUUAAAUGUCUUUAGUAUGUAAUAAGAGAAACUUUUAUCUUACAAUGAUAGUUGAAUGGGAACUCUAAGGUUUCAUGCAUGCAUGUUUGAUUAAAAUUAAAACACAAUUACUUAUUGAAUAAUCUAAUAAUUAUAAAACACCUAAAGUUGUUCCAUAAUUAUUGCUAUAUUUCAUCAUUAAACAAGAUUAUUAUGAGAAAGCAUACGUAUGGCCCAUGAUUUGCGAAUCAAGUCACACCAGUCUAUGUCAUAGCCUUGGGUCAAAAUUUGGGCCUUGGUAUCAAACUAAGCUAGGGAAUAACUCGUACAAUUCAGGUACUCAAUAAGAUUUAAACAAAAUUUAAAAUAACGCUUCCAUUAUAUUCUUUUGACCACCCAAAGUAAAAAUGGUAUUAUGAUUAAAAUAUGUUGGUUUGUAUAAGGAAAAAUAGUGUACCUUCCUCACUCUGUCUUUGUCUCAAGUCUUGCAUCACACACCUCUCGUAGUCCAAUGUAGGUCACUGUCUCUUAAAAUAUGUAUAUGCAAAACAAAUAAUAAAUAAAGAUAUAAAAUAAAUCCAUUAGUAGAUAUUAACAAAUAAAUACAAAAUAAAUUAAAAUAAGAAAUAAACUAAGAAGAAAAAACAUAUAAGUAAGAAAAAAAAGAUUUUCACAUGUGCAACAAUGGUUAGAUAUUUUUAAAAAUUUAUAAAAUUAUUAAAAUCAAACUAUUUUAGUUAUUAUUUUUUUAAAAUGGUAAUUAAUACUCAUAUAAAAUAAAAUAUAUGCAUGAUGAGAAAGGUAAGAAGAUUAUUCCUUGUGCCCUUUUUCAUUUGAGAUUAUGACUUUUGGUGAUGACCUAAUGGUGGGUGAACCGUGAACCACACUAUCUGACCCGGGUCAAGUCCUUAGGGCAAGAAAGAUGACUGCAAGAUGGGUAGAACUUAAACGAAUGAGAUAGAAAAGUCUGGUCUAAAUUAAGGUGGCUUAACAAUCCGUAAUCAUCUUGGUUAGGUUGUAUCAUAUUGUGAAAGAGAAGUUACAGGCUAGGUCUUCAGCAUCCAGCAAUUCCACCCUUUGAUUUUUCCAACAUGUUGCACCAUCUAAUAAUAAUACCUAUGAUCCUAUACCUUAGUUUUGAUUCCUUAUGUAUACAAAGUAUAUAUGGUUACACUACAUUAAAGUUAUUUUUUUUCUCUAAAAAGUAAUUAGUGUAAAUUUUAAAAGUAGGCUAAUAUUCAUUUUUUUUUUCACUUCUUAUUUUUUGUUUUGAAAAUAGAAAAUAGUAACAACUCUUAUACAAAAUAUUUUACUAUUUUUUGUUUUUAAAAUAGAAAGUUAGAAAUUGCAUUUUAAAAGCAAUAUUCUAUUUCAAUCCACACAAAUGAUACAAGUUUUGAAAUAUUCCAUUACCAUAUUUUGAGUAAUAUUUUUAAAGGGUUAAUUUAAUUCAUUUCCCCUCAAGAUUUGACUAAAUAUAAUGGCACCCGAUAAUAUGAAAUUUGAAGAAGUCCAUAUACUCUUCAAGUCUAUAAUUAGAAGUUCCUAGUAAGUUGUCACCCAUACUAAUGAAAUUUCUUGAGUCAACAUUAAUCUCGAACCUUUUUGCUACCUUCAUUACCUAUUUUGCCCCUUUACCACCUACUUAGUCCUCUUUACUUUGACCAUGUGUGUUUCUCUUACUUGCCCCUCUACUUUUAUGAAAGAAGCAUAUAGAAGAAGCCCAUUCAAGUUUUUAAUUUUUCUUUGUUUGGAUCAUUCCUUGAAACCUUCUAAAAUUUCCCUUGUACUUAGCCUCAACAUUACAGGUCCAAUAAAACUCUUAUAAAUAAAAUUAAAAGUGUAAUAAAUAUUAUAAAAUUAUUUUAUUAAAAAAAUUAAUAUAUAUAUAUAUAUUGUAAUUAUUAAAUUAUAUAAAAUCUUAUUCAAUAAUAAUAUUGUGAUAUUUAAUUAUAAUAUGUUUAAUUUUAAAAUAUAUUUAAUAUUAAAAUUAUGAUAUAUUUAAUUAAUAUAUUAGUGAUAUUAAAAACUUUUUACAAUUUAAUUAAAUAAAAAAAUUAUUUACAUAUAAAAUAAUUAUAAUUAAUUUGUUGUUUAAAGGAUUAUUUUAAUAUUUUGUGUAUAUAAAAACUUUUAAUAUAUAUAUAUAUAUAUAUAUAUAUAUAUAUAUAUAUAUAUAUAUAUAAUCAUAAGGGUUUUGAUUUCAACAAGGUAUAUUUUAUUAAGUAAAGAAAGAAGGGCAGCUUCCUUGAACUUUCAAUCCCAACUUGCAGAUUUUACACCUUCGGCAUCACAGGUAUAUUGAGGAGGACAAGGAAAAGUGCCAUCAACGUAUCCUAAGAGGUCGUUGCUAAUUAAAACAGGGAGGAAUUUAUCUUUCCAGAGAAGAUAGUUGGUGGAAUCAAGUUUGAUUGGUAAUAUUCGGUGCAGCAAGUAGAGUGGAAGAAGGCAGUGAAUUCGAAAUAAAAACUGAUAAGAAUGUGACAAAGAAGAAGGAAGAACAAAAGGAUAUGAUGGUGUAGAAAAAUAAGAAGAAGAAAAGAAUAGGGUGAAGGAAUUUAUUUGAGGAGAAUAGGAGAUGACAAAGUUGAUACCUGAGUCAAGAAGGGAGGAAGAGCAGUGGUGGAGAUGACAGAUGGAGGUCCGGCAAGAGUGCUAGGAGGCAAGGACUUAAAAACCUGGGUCAACGACGAUGCCGCUAAGGACGAAACUUGGCUGGGAAUAUCAAUAUGUGCAGCAGACAACAGAAUAGAUGAUGUUUCAAUGGAUGAGGAAAUUUCAGCAGUGGAAGAUGGUGUCGCAGCCAUGGCAGAGGAGAUUAAGAGAGGAUGCAGCAGGAAAGAAAUUGCUAGAACAAUGACAGCGGCAGGUUUAGAAUCCUUUCAACACACCAAAUUUAGAGUCAGACUUGACAGCCUUUCAAAGACGCGGAGGCAUAGAAUAUUCUUGAUUAAAAUAUGUGAGAUCAUAAGCACCAAGGAAAUCAACGACCCCACCACAGCUAUUGCCACUCUCCGCCUCUUCUUCCACGACUGCAUGGUCGAAGGCUACGACACCUCAGUCCUCAUCUUCUCCAACUCCUUCAACACCGCCCAGCACGACGCCGACAUCAACCUCUCCCUCCCAGGCAAUACUGUAUCAAUACAUCCAGAUUGUACGAGUCUUGCCUCUCUAGUCAUCAGUCAUCAUUCAUGACUUUGUAGGAGGGAUGAGGUAGACCAAACAAAGCCUUCGGAUGGGCUCAAAUCUAGCCACAUCCAAGUUCCAAAUUCCUAUCCCCUAAAGUAAAAUUUAAAUUAUUAUUAUUAUUUACAUUCUGUAGAAGUUUCUUCUUUAAAUGAAUUUUAUUUUUGAGAAAACUUGCUAUGGAAAGUCUGCAUCUUGAUUUCAACCGAGACAAACCCAUAUCUUUUGGACCUGGUGCCUCUCCCAAUCCUUGACUGCCCAACAACUAAAAUUCAAACCCAAGCCCACCAAAGAAAAUUUUAAAACACGUCAUGCCUUUGCCAGUUGUUCCCCUCUCAAUACCAUUUAAAAAUCCCCCAUUCUGUAGCUUUCUCAACUGCUGCAGUCGAACCUGUCUUCUCCUUGGUGUACGAACACGACACGUCCAUACCUACAGGCGGUAGAGGCUACACCUCCUUUCCCACGCCCUUGUGCUGGUGCGUGAGCCACCCACCACAUUACCCUCAAGCUCCAUCCCGAUCACCAUGCUGGCUACUACAUCUCCAUGGCAUUACACUAGGCAAAAACAAGGCGACACUUCCCACCACAACUAAAAGGAGAAGCUGAAAUUAUACCUAUUACAACUUGCAGCGUACCAUACAACAACAAGAACAAAAAAUGCACUGUAUUUAUUUGGGAUACCAUUACCCUGAUUUUCUCCUCCCAAAAUAAUUUCCCCAUCUAUGAAACAAUAAUAUUAGAUUUUUGGAACAAUGAAAACCCUUCCAUUUGUCUUCAUUUGUACUAAUCUAUUCAAGUUUGAGGAAAACAACAUUACUUGAGAAAGAGAUUUACCUGUAACUAUGAUGCUCUGUAGUAGAUUUUGACAAUGGUAACCUCCCAUGCAUGGAAGUUAGACAUGGCCAUUCCAACGGAUUAGGGCAUUUUAGUGGUGGACUUAGUGAGAGCUAUAGGGUUUCGGGGUUUCUUCAGUUCUGAAAUUGUGGAGGGAAUGUCUGGCGGGUACUUGUAGAAAGGGAAAAACAUUUAAUUAAUAUAUAUAUAUAUAUACUAUUAUUUAAUGUCACCUAAUAUAAGUGCCAUGAAAUAUCACAACUAUGACACUGCUAUAAAGUGUCAUGGAAUAACCAGUUAUUCUUAUAAGUGCCACAACAAGCAAUGAUACUUUAAAUAAGCGCCAUGAAAUAAAAAAGCUAAUAUAAAAAAUGACCCUUUUGAAAAAACGCCAUUGUAUAUCCAAAUAUAAUGAUACUUUAUGAAAGCGCCAAUGAUUAAAGCGUCAUAAUUUUCUAUUUUUGUAGUAGUGGUUAGACAUUGGAAAAUAUUGUAUAUAUAAAUAUAUUAUUAUAAUAAUAAAAAUGAGAAGAAACAUGAGGAUUACUAUUUUAGUCUUAGGACUUUUGUGUGUAAUGAAGAUAGGAGGGUAAUGAGUUGGUUAUGCAUUGAAUUUGAAAAUUAAUAAAAAUAAUAAUAUUUAGUUUUAAGCUAACAAAGGAAAUAUUAGCAAUAAUAACAGUUUAGUGCAAUAAAUACAAAAACAAUAUAUUUUUGAGAAAUGUAGUUUAAAAAUAAUAACAAUAAAUUAAUGGAAUUUGGAGGAUAAAUUUUGGAAAGAACCCAAUUUUUAGAAGAAUUUAAAAAAUCACAUGUUAAAUUAUUAUUGAUUAAGAAGUUAAAAAUAAUAGGUGACAUAAUAUAGAAAAUUUCAAUCCCAUCCUACUUAUUUAAAAUAAUUAUCAUCCUCGUGCUAGUAAAAGAGAAAAGAAAAAUAGAGUGGGGUGGGUAUAUGAAUUUACCAUAUUAGUCUCACCUCACCCUGAUUAAAGUCUUCUUUUCUAAAUUAAAUUUUAAAAAAUUUAAUUAAAUAAAUGUAUUUUAUAAAUAAUUAAAAUAUUAUAAUUUUUAUAACUUAUUUUAUUGCAAAGUAAUUAUUUUUAUUAUUUUAUAUGUAUUAAAAAUGGGGAAAUAAAAAAUUUAAAUUAAAUUAUUUUUUGAAAUUCAUUUUAUAUAUAAUUAGGGUGAGAUGGGAUGAGACAAGGCAAAAUCUGAAACUAUCCUGCAUUUAAAAAAAAAAAAAGAAAAUCUCAAACUUGCCUCACGUUUAAAAAGAAAAAAAAUCUCAAACUUGCUCAUAACUUAUUUAUUUUAAUUCCAAACCAAUAAGGUGGGACGAGGGCCUGUAGCCAUAGAAGACUUGUAGGGAUUUUACCCGAAAAAUCUCACUCUAUUGUUAUCGUACUCCUAUCCAAGUUGAUAGUCAACUUGUAUACCUUGUUUUUUUUUUUUUUCAAUAUUCAAAUAAAUCACAAUUUAAUUUUAAUGGUCUUUAAACUAAAAGUUCAAUUAAAUGAAUUUUUUCGUGUCAUUAGCUUUCACAACCUCGUAAGUGCUAAUAAUAUUCAAUUUCAAAUAAUCAUCAAAGUCUAUACAACCAUUUCUAAAUCAAAUGUUCUCAUAGUUUAUUUUCAACCAAUCAAAGUAUAAUUAAAUUACAUAUAUCCAAAUUCCCCAAAUAAAUACACAUCUAAUUUCCCCGUUGCUUGGUAGGAGGCCUUACACCCAACAGGGUUAACAAGUAAUAAUCAAAGACUAAAAAUACAUGAAAUAUUGUAAAAUUAUAAAGUGACAUGAGAAGAAAACAAGAAAGAGAAAUCAGAAUGUAGGAAGAGAAUAGAAUUUCAUUAGAGGUAUUUCCCUUUUAUAGGGAGUCACAAAGAGAUAUACAUCAAUAUGGAUGAUCAUCCACAAGUUCCCAUAAUCCGAUAAAUUCUCAUAUUUUAUAACACUCCCCUUUGGAUGAUCAUAAGAAUAUGCCUCAUUAAAACCUUACUAGGAAAAACCCCAUGGGAAAAAACUUUAGUGAAGGAAAAAUAGUACACUAUUCUUUUGGAUUACUAUAACUACCUCGUUAAAAACCUUGCCAGUAAAACCCAUUGGGACAAAACCUGGAUGAAGGAAAAAAAAGUGCAGUAUAUCCAUAUUAUCAUUCUCCCCCUCAUGUAAACAUGAUUAUGAUUUCUUCAACAUUUCAAAUGGUAGAUCUCUCAAUCUUCAUAUUCCAAAGUCAUACCUUAACUUUUUCAAUGUGGUCAAAGGUAACACCUUUGUGAAUAGAUAUGUUAGAUUAUUUCAUGUAUUCAAAUAAAAUAAAUUUUCCUUCACUAAGGUUUUUUCCCAUGGAGUUUUUCUUAGUAAGGUUUUAAUGAAGUAUAUUUUUAAGAUCAUCUAAGGGGGAGUGUUAUAAAAUAUGAGAAUUUAUCAGAUUAUGGGAACUUGUGGAUGAUAAUUCAUAUUGAUGUACAUCUUUUUACGAAUCCCUAUAAAAGGGAGAUACCUCUAAUGAAAUUCUAUUCUCUUCCUACAUUCUGAUUUUUUUUUCUUAUUUUCUUCUCCUUUCACUUUAUAAUUUUAUAACAUGUUAUCAGCACGACUAGUCUCUACAAAAGAAAUAGAAAUAUUUUUCUCUAUUCAGAAAAAUAACAAGAUAUUCUUUAUUCUUUCUCACAAAAAGGUAUGUGAUAAACUUAUAUCAUGAUUUUCUAUUUUAUUACCUUUGAUCUCUAUUUUCAUUUAUUUUAUUUGAAUAUAUAAAUAUAUAUAAUCUCAAUAACCGGAAGUUAUGGGGUAAAUUCAUAACCAGAAGUUAUAAAAAUUAUGUGCAAUUCCUAUAACCAGAAGUUAUGAGGAAAAAUUAGAAAAUUACAUAUACAUAACCAGAAGUUAUGUAUAUGAUCUCUAAUUAUUUAUUUUUAAUUAUACGGUAUAACUGAAUGUUAUACCAAACAAUAUUAUAUAGCUAGAAGGUAUAAAAUAAAUAAAUAAAUAAAUGUUCAUAGCCUGAUUAUUUUGUCAGAAUAAGAAAAUAUUUAAAUUUGUACAUAACUUAGGCCAUGAUUAUUUUGUCAGAACAAGAAAAUAUUUAAAUUUGUACAUAACUUAGGUCAUGAACUGUUUUUUAUAUAAAUUUAUAUAUAUCUUCAGGCUAUGAACUAUUUAUUGUGUAGAUUUGUGCAUAACUUCGGGCUAUGAACUUUCAUUAUGUAGAUUUGUACAUAACUUCAAGCUAUGAACAUUUAUGUAUUUAUUUACUUUAUAGCUUCUGGCUAUAAUAUUGUUUGGUAUGACAUCCAGUUAUACCGUAUAAUUAAAAAUAAAUAAUUAGAGAUUAUAUACAUAACUUCUGAUCAUGUAUUUGUAAUUCUGUAAUUUUUCUUCAUAACUUCUGGUUAUAGGAAUUGCACAUAUUUUUCAUAACUUCUGGUUAUAAAUUUACCCCAUAAUUUAUAAUUUACCCCAUAACUUCUGGUUAUAGAGAUUAUACAUAUUUAUGUAUUCAAAUAAAAUAAAUGAAAAUAGAGAUCAAAAGGUAAUAAAAUAGAAAAUCAUGAUAUAAGUUUAUCACAUACCUUUUUGUGAGAAAGAAGAGAGAAGAUCUUUCUAUUUUUUUGAAUAGAGAAAAAUCUUUCUAUUUCUUUUGUAGAGACUAGUUGUGUUGAUAACGUGUUGUAAACUUAUAAAGUGAAAGGAGAAGAAAAUAAGAAAGAGAAAUCAAAAUGUAGGAAGAGAAUAAAAUUUCAUUAGAGGUAUAGGGAGUCACAAAGAGAUAUACAUUGAUCAUUCACAAGUUUCCAUAAUCCGAUAAAUUCUCAUAUUUUAUAACAUGAAAAUAUUAAUAAGAUAUUUUAUUUUAUCCCGAAUAUGUAUAUAUAUAUAUAUAUAUAUCUUGGUAAUUAAUAAAAAAAUACAAAUGGACGUGAAUACACCCAAUCAUACGAUUCACUAUUCUUCUUGGGGUUUCACCUAAUGAUAUGUGUAUGUAAUCAAGUAUACUCUCCAUUUAGAUUUUUCUCGGGUCUAUUGUUAUGUCUUUUAUACUUGUGAUCACGCUCUUUUCUUAAUUUAUCCUCUUAUGUGACAUUUCUUUUUUGUCUCUCAUUUUUUUUUUUCCAUUUUACACCACCUUUCCUCAUUAUAUAUAUAUAUUCACACAAUUAUGAUGCAAAUAUAAUAUAUAAUAUGAAACUAUUAUUUUUAGAACAUAUUUUUAUCUUUUAAAUUGACUCCAAAAUUUAAAAAUUCAAUACACAUUUUUUUUUUAAUUCUCAUGAAUUAAUGAUCAUUUCAUUUUCCUCUAGCACUAUUUUAUCAACAUCAAUAAAAAUAUAAUUUAAAUAACACUCAUAUACCAAAUCACCCGUGGAUAUUACAAGUAUUAACAUAUUUAUUUCAUGGCAUAAUAUUUAUAACUUUUUUCUUAAAAAUAUAUUAAAUAAAUUUUUUUGGGAUACAUCGCCCUACCAAAAACUGCGAACCUAAUCGUUAUUUUUGAAAUUGAGCUUUGUAGCCAUAUUCCCCAAAUAAAAGGUGGUUUGUUUCAACGAAUUUCUGUUUUUAUUUUCAAAGAAAACAAAAGGUAGGUUUUAAAUAUGUUUAGACAAUGUUUUACCGGUUUUUGUUUUCUAGAAAUCUAAAUUCAGAAAAUGGAAAAAAAAAAAAUGAAAACAUCAAUUUGUUAUUUUCAAAAUUUUAUUAAGAAAGGUGAAAACAAUUUUAAAAAAUAUUCAAAACAAAGAAAAUAAAAAUAAAAAAGACCUUAUGGGAUUGAUCAUAAUAUAAAAAAAUAAAUACAAAUAUUGUAUAUAUAAAAAAUAUUAAUAUAAAUAAAACAUGAAAUAAUAAGUAAUGUAUAAAUAUUUGGUUUAUUUUUUGGAUUAGAGAUUAUUUAUAAGUUGAUAUAUUUUUUGAAUAUAAACUAAUUCAUUUUAAUUGAUUAGUCAGAAGAUUAUUAGAAUAUUUUAUUACAUUAUUUUAAAACAAAAAUAAUAUAGUAAAGAAAAUAAAAAAGAAUAAUGAACAAAUACAAGGAAAGCGUGACUUUAUAGUAUAUAUGUUAUAACACAUAACAUAAAAAAUAAUCAUAAUUAUAUAAAAUUUUAAUUAUAUUUAAUUUCACAAUUUUUAAUAAAAACUUAAAAUCAAAAUUUUUUUUUGCAAAUUUUAUUUUUUAAAAGCAGAUUUCAUUUUUCUUAAACAAAAUGUAUUUUUUAAGAAAAUAAAAAAUAGAAAGUGAAAAUUGUUUUGAAAAAAUAAAAAUUAGAAAAGCGUUUUUCAAAUUAAAUACAAUCAAUUAAUUUCUUUUCUUUUCUUUUUUGUGAAUGUAGAUACAUUAUUGAGUCAUUAAAUCUUGUGUUAAAGUGUAGUUUUUUUUUUUCAUUUAUUUUAUUUUCUUGUUUAUUAUUGACUUGCUUCCGGAUAACAUCGAGAGUUGCAAAUACAUCUUAUGAUUGAGUACAAAUAUUAGGUCUUGUCAUUUUCUCAAGUAGGAAAAGAUACGGGUGUUUCGAUGAAUUGAAUUAAUAGUGUUAGGACAUUUGCUUUGUUUUUUUGGUUGAUAAUUUUGUUUCUUUUCAUUAUGAUAUAUGAUUUUUUUAAAUAGUGACAUUUGUAGAUGAUGACUUACUCUUUACUGAAGAUUUGAGACUGUCGUUUAAUUAAUCGGAUGGUUAUAUGUAAAUUUGAAAAGAUUUAAGUAAAGACAAUUUUUUUAUAAGUUAGAGUUAGAUGGAAAGUUUUAAAAUUAAGUUAAAAUAUUUUAAUUAAUUUUUAAAAAGUUGAGAUUUUAAUUUUUUUUAAAAAUCGGAUGUUAUCAUUAGGAAAAUGUCAUAACUUAUCCUACCAUUUUUGAAAGCUUUAAAAGGUUUUUUUUUUAUAAAUAAUUAUGGCUUGUUGAAGGGACCUACAUCAUCUCAGAGAUUGAGAUGAAUUCAGUAGAGUACUCGAGGUAUUGUGUCCCGAGGAUGUAGGUGGAAAGUAAGUGCAAGGUAAAACCAAUUUUUAUUUUUAUUUUUUUUUGUUAAAAACUCUUAAGACGAUGAUGAUGUUAUACAUAUGCAUAUUCAAUAGAUUCUGCAUCAUGAGCUCAAGCUGCUAGAUGCUAUGAAUAGGUCAGGACUGUGGAUGACAUGUGUUUGACACGUGGAAAUGAAGAGUGAGGAUGAGCAUCCAAUUAUUUUUAUCUUUAAUUCCCAUGUUUGAAUAAUUUAAAUUAUGAUGGGAAUGAAUCAAAAAGUGAUUCAAAUGGAAAUAAAAUCUUACUUAUAAGUAGGAUUUCAAUUCUCUCCAACUAGAGGUAUUUUGAUUUCUUAAUGUAAGUUAUUUUUAAAAAUACUUUUUAAAAAUUUAAAAACUAAACAUUUAAUUUUUUUGAAUAUGUUGUUUUUGAAAAGAAAUUUUUAGUUUUAUUUUGUAAAAAAAAAUAUUUUAAAUUAAGAUAAUAUAAUGUAAACUAAAUUUAAUUCAUGUCUUAUUAAAAAAUAAAAAUAAAAAUAAAUUAAAAAAUAAAUAGUUUUUAAUAAAUAUGAAUAUUAAUAAAAUAAUAAAAUCAGAAAUGGUAUAUAUUUUUUAUAAAUAUUAUAAAUAUAUAGAUAUUAACAUUAAUUGAUUUAUUUUGUUAAAAAUAAAGAAUAGUUAUUCNCNAAUUAAUAAUUUCUAAUACUAUCUAUUUUAAAUUAAUAUAAAAAAAUAAAAUUUAAUUUUUUAAGGUAUAAAUGAGCCAAAUUUUUUAUUAUAUGCAUAUAUUUAUAACCCAAUUGUGAAGAUGACAUUCUAAAUUAUUUUAUUUAUCUAUAAUUAAUUAAUCAAUUUUUUAAAAUUCAAAUUAUUCUUAAAAUUACAAGAUUUAUUAAAGAAUUUAUAGUAUUAAUUAUGUCUAUUAUUUUUAUAGUCAUUAUAUAUAUAUUUUUGAGUUUUAAAUAAUUUUUGAAAUUAUAAAACUUAUUAAUAAAUUCAAUACAAAUUCGAUUUGAAAUUCAUAUUUUCUACUAAAAAAAUCGAAAGAAUAAUUCUCUAUUUUAUUUUAUUUUUAAAAAUUGUUUUUAAAAAAUAACAAUCAAAUAGUGAUAUAAAUUUUUUAAAAACAAUUUUUUUUUUUAAAUCAUGCACCCAAAUAAGUUUUUAUUAUUUAGAAAAAAAAAACAAAUUCCUAAGGAUUUUUUCAAAUGAAAAUAAAAAAUUACUUCAAACAACGUAGAAUGUGAGAUUUUUUUUAUAAAUAAAAAUAAAAAUAAAGAAUUAUUUUAAAUCAGAUAUACAAAUAUUAUUAAUAAUUCUUUUUUUUUUUUUCAUUUUCAUUCCUAUUUUUAUUUAACAUUGAAAUAUAAUCAAAUUAUCAUUCCAAUCUUAUAUUCUUAUAUGCAUGCAAACAUAAAAAUUAAAAUUACCAAAUUCAUUCCUAUCAAUAGGGAAUAGUAGUAAAACAAAAUAUUCAUUUCCAUUCCCAUUCUUCGUUAUGCGUACCAAACAUGUCCUUAUCUUACAUAGAAUCUGGCCAACAUUAUAGGGCAUGUGGGGAUCGGGCAGAUGUUAAUUUGUUGGCCUGAAAUUGGAAAUCAUCAUCUUUAUGUCACUAAGAAGUAACUUAAUGAACCUAGCUCAAAUCCAUGCUAUGUUCAGUACAAGACAGUGAUGGUGCUAAAGACGAUAACCUAAUACGUGGGUCCCUUUUGCCUAUCAGGAAAAACAUAACACAUGCGUGCUUCCUGCGACUUCUUUCAUGAAAACUUUUCAGUCUAUUAUCCUUCGCAGUGCCAUUGAGAAACAAGUAUCUCCACAAAUUGGUUCCUCUGAUUUAAUUUGUCCAUUACAGAUAAUGGCUGUUCAAGUUAGCCUAUUUGCCACGUCCCUGGGAUUUCUGUCUUAAUCAUAUAAGACAAUAUAUUGAAUGGGAAAGCGAAGCUACGUGAACUUCCCAACUACGUAUGCAGCCUCUUGCACUCACACUCACUCACACGAAAGUCUAUAAAUACCGAGUUCGUAUUGCCCUUGCAAUCCAUCCAGCAGAGAAACAUCUUUGAGAGUUUCCUUUAUCAGUAGAGUCUUUCACCUCCUUUGCUUUUGUGUAGGAAAGAUGGCUUACUCCAGGACUUUCCUUCUCCUUGGCCUUCUCUUUGCUGUUGUUCUCAUCCUGUCCUCUGAGGUUUCAGGUCGGGAGCUAGCUGAAACAGCCGAAACUCGUAAGUUAAAUUUCUUUCAACUACUUUUUCAGUAGAAAUAAUGGCAAGUUAUAUUAUAUGUUCAUAUACAUAGGGAUAAUUUUGUUUUCUUAAAUUAUGGCAGAAGUGAUCAGCGUGGAAGAUGAGAAGCACGAUGGGUAUGGACACGGACACGGGCACGGCCACGGCCACGGAAAAGGACAUGGGCAUGGGAAACCUGGUCAUGGUGGCGCCGGUGAGGAUGUGGAAGACGAGACUGAGGGGGCUCAGAAUUAGAGUAAUCAAUCCUUAAUUAUGUGGGCCACGCAUGAUUAGGGUGGGUUUUAUGUAAGAUUAUGAAAGCGUAUAUGUCAAUAAGGCAUGUGGGCUAAGGGGUACUCCCUUAGACCAGCAUUGCUGCAGUUGUUAAAUAUGUAGGUCGGGACUUGUAUCUUUUAUUUCUCUAUGUUUUUUAUGUGCUAAAUAAAGUAUGAUGAAUGUUGUCUGGGGGUCCUACCCUUUUUACGUUGCAUUAUUUACUUGGAAUUGCCCGGAAUUUGGAUUUGAAAGGGAUUUUUUUUUUUUUUUUUUACUAUGGUAGCAUGCCCUUCAAUUCUCAUCGAUGGCUUUUACAUUUGCACCAAUAUAAUAUUAGUAAUUUCAACUUUGAACAUCAGUACUGUUUAUUUAUUUCAUUUUUUAAGGAUUUUUUUUAUUUUUUUAUUUAAUUUAAAUCUCCUUGAUUCCACUCCAAUAAAUGGUGCAACUUCAUGACCAAUAUGAACCCACCCCUUUUCACCCUGUUCUUCCAAAUAUAAUGCUUGAAAGUGAGUACUCCCAUGGAAUAAAUUGGUUUCCAAAAUCUCCAUUUAUUGAAAAAAACCACACACCCGAAUUUUCAUUUGGAAACUACCUCUCUCAUGCACCUUUGAAUUCAAUAAUCUUCUAACGUACUUUAAAAUAAAUAUAGCUACUAUCAAUAUUUUUAAAAUCAGAUCCAUCAUUGAAUUGAAAAAGUUAUCGAUCCAUGAUUCACUAAUCGAAUCGAUGGUUGAACCGUAGUCAAACCAAUGAUGUUAUAAAUAUAUAAUUUAUAUUUAUAUAUAAUUAAAAAUAAUUAUAAAAAAUAAACAAAUGUAUAUAAUUAAAAAAUUUAACAAUAUUUUAUUUUUUAUAUGAAUUAAACUAAAAAAAUUCUAUACUUGCAUAUGUAAUAUUAAUAGAUUAAAUCAUGAUAUAUAUGCUAAUAUUUCUAAAUUUACUAUUAUAUGUAUGUAGUAUUUAUGAUUUAAUAUUAAGAAGAUAUAUAUAUCCUAAGAUGAAAUCAAAUUUUAUAUGUCAUUUUAUCAUUUAAAAAUUAUUAAGCUUAUUUUACUAUAUGAAUAUUUUUAUUUAUUUCAAAAUUUUAUUUAUUUAUUAAAAAAAUAAUAUGCAAAUAUAUUUAACAACUGACUUGGGUUAAAAACACAAUUAGGUAAGUGGUCGCUGGUUUCAUUUUAUAUGCCCAGCUCGAAUUUUAAGUGGCUGACGUAGGAGUCUUGGGAAUGAAACAGAGCUGCAAAAUGAUGAAGGUGGGUUGCAUGGACCCAAAUCUUGAGAUAAAGUUGGAAAAAUGAUGGGUUUAUAGAAAAGGAAAAGAUCGUUCAGUUCUCAAAAACCGGUCGGUCCACUGGUUUGGAUGGUGCAUCUGUCGGUUCAUGUGAUUUGAUCCCGAUCCAAUGCUUCUAACGGUUUAACCGUUUAAUCAGAUUGGAACCAUGAUUGAUCGACGAUCUAAUUGGUUAAAUCGACGGACACAAUCUGAUUUUCAAAACCAUGGUUAUUACGAUAAAAACAUAAACAUUCCUCGUUUUAUUGUAAUAUUUGUUAGUAGAUUAAGGUAUUUAAAUUAAGUUGAUAAUUUUGUUUCCUAAUCUUGAUUUAGAAUUCUAUGUAUUUUUUAUUUUUUAUUUUUAUGAUUUACACUUCUAUUAAGUAAGGUUAUAAGAUUCAGGAAUAAAAUCAAUUUCGAAAGAAUUUCAAAUGGAAAGUCUUUUUAAACUUAAAAUAUGAUAUCUUUUUAAAUAUUUCUAAAAUUUAAAUAUUAAUUGUAUUCUUUUUAGUAAAAUAUGAUUUCUAAAUCGAUUAAAAGUUUACUAGAAUAUAUAUAUAUAUAUAUGCCUACUAGAAGAGUUCUCUUCCAAGAAUUCAUGUACCUAAAUUUUAUCUUAAAUUUUAAGACUGUUUGUCUUUUUCUUGAGUUGGAAGACUUUGAAUACAUUUGACAAUAAUUUUUAAAAGUAUUUAUAGUGUUUCUAAUAUUUGAAAAAUAAAAAUUUUAAAGACCAAAAACACUUUUCCAAAUUAUUGCAAAAUGCAUUCUUUGUGGCACUCUCAAUUGAGGAUGUUCUUUUUUGGAUCGACUUGUUGACGUGAGGACUGAGGAGGGACGUAUACAUGCACUGUAUAAGACAUGGUUGGCUAAUUCCAAUUUCCAACUACGUUAUUAAAGUGAGUGAUUUUGGAACCUUAAAAUGAUACGACAGACAUAGUAUAGCAUUUUUUGUUAGAAGGAUCGAAAUCCAUACAUUCUAUGACUUGUGAAAUAUGUUGGAGAGGGCUACCUAUUAAUAUUACUGCUAAUAUAUAGUGUAUAUAUGGUCCCCACCAGUACUUCAAUUCUCUGAAAAAAUGAAAUCUAGCAAAACCACGUGAGGAAAAGCUUUCUCACUGUAGAACUUAUCCAAACUUUUUCUUUGUUGCUAUAUUUGGUUUUUAUCCUCCAUCAACAAGUUAUUAGCAAUCAACCAUUGGCUAAGUGGGAAAUUUACUAGGUUAAAAAAUCACUGCUACAAAAAAUACAUUCAAUGACGGUCAUUUCCUUGGCGCUGGUAAGAAACGUCAAGUUACGGGGAUUUUUGAUAAUUUAAAAUUAAUUUUUUAAAAUACAGUAUAAUAAAAACUAUUUUCAAAUCUAUGAUACUUUUUUGUCACUUUUAAAAGUGUAUUUUAAAAAGACACUUUACAUCAUUUUUAUAUAAAUGAUAUACGUUUAAAACAAUUGAAUUUACAUUGAAGGUGUCUCUGGAAGAGACAAGAGACACCUUCCAUAAUUUUUAUAUCAAUAACACAUGUUAAAAAUUUUGAAUUUACAUUAAAAGUGUCUCUUCAAGAGACACCUUUUAUAAUUUUACAAAAUCAAAUUUAUAUUAAAAGUGUCUUUUAAAUAGAUAUUUUCACAGUUUUCAUAUCAGUUGCAUAAUAAAAAAUUGAAUUUAUACUAAAAAUGUAUUCUUAAGAUAUAAUUUUUUACAAUUUUACAAAAUUAAAUUUAUAUUAAAAGUGUAUCUUGAAUAGACACCUUCAAUAAUUCUUGCAUCAGUCAUCUAUUGANNNNNNNNNNNNNNNNNNNNNNNNNNNNNNNNNNNNNNNNNNNNNNNNNNNNNNNNNNNNNNNNNNNNNNNNNNNNNNNNNNNNNNNNNNUUGCAUCAGUCAUCUAUUGAAAUAAUGAAUUUAUACUAAAAGUGCAUUUUAAAAAACACAUUCCAUAAUUUCAUAAAAUUAAAUUUAUAUUGAAAGAUUAUUCGUUCAAGAGACACUUUUAGUAUAAAUUUAAUUUUUUUGAUAGGUGAUUAAUAUAAAAAUUGUGGAAAUUAUUUCUUCAAAAGACACAUUUAGUAUAAAUUUAAUUUUGUGGAAUUGAAUAGAUUCCUUCAAUGUAAAUUCAAUUUUUUUCACUGUGUAACUGAUAUGAAAAUUAUCAAAGAUGUCUCUUCUAGAGACACCUUUAGUAUUAAUUUGAUUUUAUGGUAUUGUGGAAAUGAUAUUUCUUUAAUAUAAAUUCAAUUUUUUUUAACGUGUAUGACUAAUAAAAAAAUUAUGAAAAAAUAUCUUUUGAAGAAACACCUUUAACAUAUAUUUAAUUUUAUGGAAUUAUAAAGUAUGUCUCUUCAAGAGACACCUUUAGUGUAAUUCAUUUUUUUUGGGGAGAAUUAUGUUUUGGGGGUAGAUGGGCUCUCAAAUUAACAAAAGGUCCAUAUAACUCUUCAAAUUGAGCCCAAGACCCAAUGAAAGUAUGGAAAUUGAGUUGAAGGAUAUCAUUCUUCAGUAUUUACAAAAAUACCCUUUGUUGAUUUUGAAAAAAAAAUUAAUAUUUUUGAAAAAUACUUUUAUUUAAUUUAAUAUUUUUUAUUUUAUUUAAUAUUUAAAAAAAUACUUUUAUGUAAUUUAAUAUUUUUAAAAUACUUUUAUUUAAUUUAAUAAUUUUAAAAAAUAAAUUUAUUUAAUUUAAUAUUUUAAAAAAAUAUUUUAAAAAAAAUAUUUUAAAAAAAAUAUUUAAUUUAAUAUUUUUUUAAAUACUUUAAUUUAAUUUAAUAUUUUUGAAAAAAAAUUUAUUUAAUUUAAUAUUUUUAAAAACUACUUUUAUUUAAUUUAGUAUUUUUGAAAAAAAAAAUUAUUUAACUUAAUUUUAUAAAAUAUUUUAUAUGUGUUUUUAAAGGGUAUAUUUGUCCGUUACUAUUUCAUAUCCUUCAACUCAAUUUGAAGAGUUACAUGGACCCUUUAUUAAUUUGGGGCCCAUCUACCCCCAAAAGAUAAUUCUCCCUUUUUUUUUUUUUUAACAUUUAUGGUUGAUAUGAAAAAUAUAUAAGGUAUUUCUUUAAGAAACACAUUUCAAAGUGGGAAAAAAAUGCCGUAGAUUUGAAAUUAUUUUUCAAACUACCAUAGUUUAAGAAUUAUUUUUUAAAGUACCGUUUUUUAAGAAUUAUUUUUUAAAAUAGCUGUAUAAGUUAAAAAAAGCCCCAAGUUACUGCAGGAAACACAUUGAGGAGUCAUGGAUGGUGGAAGUAUAGCUUUGCUGCUCCUGGACUUUCUGGACAGUCCCUUUGGACUCACAAAAGAGUCUUCAGUCACUAAAGAGGACAGAAAAUUCAUAUUGUUCGAUUUGUGUCAAAAUCCACUCGUAGAAAGUGGUUGUUGCAUCGUUUUGGAUCGCCAUAUAGAUGGUUUUGAUUCUUGUCUAAUUUUCUAUGAUAGUAAUUUUUCUUAAGUUUUCUUAGUCUCAAAAAGUGUUUAUUUUAUUUUAUUUUUUUACAAAUUAUAAAUAAAGUUUGAAUGCCUUUGGAUGGUUUAUUUCUCAAUUUUUAUGCCAAAUUUUUUGGUACAUUUCUUAGGCAAUAUCAUAUGUUUAUAUAUCAUUAAUUUGUUCUCUUAAACAAAAUUUGUUGUCAUAAAUAGGAAGAUUACGAAUGUUUAUGUAAUUGCAUGUUAAUAUUAGAAGUUAUUAAUAUAUUUAGUUACUAUAUUAUAAUUAUAUAUUUAUUAUUUAAUUAUUAUACUACAAUUAUUUUCUUUCUUUUUAGAAAUAAUGAUAAAUUAGUCUUUAUUUUCUUUUAUUAGACUUAUUUAAAUUGUAAUUGUCUUAUAUUUAUUUUAAAGAGAAUUGAUAAUAAGAAAUACCAAAUUUUCUUUUCUUUUCUCUUUGAAUCUUUUUUAGAUUUUAACAUGGUAUUAAAGCCUAGUUUGACAGGAGGCCAUGAGUUCGAGCCACCUCUUCACAUCUUUAAUGAGACUUUUGAUUUGUAAUUUCAUGAAAAAGAGUUUAAUAUCAUACGUUGUUUUCGUAUCUGUUUGAUCGUGAGAUAUAAUAAUGGGUGUUUACAUAAUUCUUUUCGUGUUUGAUCCUAAUAUUUGAUUUUGUAUUCAUUUGUUCGAUAUAAUCCAAAUUCUAUUUGUUGGAUAUGAAUCCAAAAUUCUGUCUAUCUUUCUUUUUUCUAUGUUGUUGAAUAUGAAUUCAAAUUAUAUUUGUUUCUAUUUGUUAUAUAUGAAUUCAAAUUCUCUUUGGCUUUGUCUUUUGGAAAUGAAUCCAAAAUUUGUUAAUCUUUUUUUCUUUUAUUUCUCAUUUUUCUAUGGUUUUAUGUCUUCUUCUAUCUCUAUUUAUUGAUUUCUCAUUCCUUGAUAAGUUUUAUGUUGACUUCUAUUUUUCUUUCUUUGAUGGUUUAGUUUUGUGUCUUUUUUUUUUUCUUCCUUUUUUUUCCAUUAUAGUUUUAGUUUUGUCUUAUUGUACUUUUUCUUUGAACAUAUGCUUUUUCUAUUCCUAUCGAGUCUCAUGGUGUCUUUGUGUUUGAGCUUGUUCACAUUGGUCUUUUUUUGUGAAUGAUACAAAUAAUAUCCAUGCAAAUAUUGAUAUUUGACACUUCAAUUAAACGGUGCAAAGCUCGAUUGUUUGCUAAGAGAUUUUUUCAAUAGUAUGAUUGUAAAGUUGUUUACCAAGUCAUACUUAUUUUCACAUUUUUUUAUUUUCGAUUAAAAACUUUCAAUACUUUUCGUAGUUGCAUUUUGAGCUUGUGAGGCGUGUUAGACGUUAUUAAUUAAUAUAUUUAGUUACUAUUUAUAAUUAUAUAUUUAGUUACUAUAUUUAUUUAUUUAGUUAUUAUAUUAAAAUUAUUAUUAUUUUUUAAAAUAAGAGUAAAUUAGUCUUUAUUUUAUUUUAUUAGACCUAUUUAAAUUGUAAUAAUGUUAUAUCUAUUUUAAAGGGAAUUCAUAAUAAAAAAAUCUUAAAUUUUCUUUCAUUUCUCUUUUUUUUUUUUUCUUUUUUAAUAUUUUUUGAAUUUCAACAUGUAAAAGUCUUAAGCAAGCCAAGUUGUUCAAAUUGUAAUUAUCUUUAUUUCUUUGAUCAAUCACAUUCCUAAUAUCUAUAAAGACCAUGAAAUUAUUAUUUGAUGAGAUGGUUAGAGUGAUGAGAGAAAGUGAUCGGUUGUCAUAAAUUCAUGUGGUCUUAUCAACCCUACAGGAGACUAAUGUUGGUUAAUCAUUUUCAUUUGUCGUCUACGAUGAGUCUUUAAAUUCAAAUUCAUCUAUUAAUGUUGACAACUUCAUCACAUCCACCCACUCAUUACUUUGCAUAAUCCCAUCUCUCCUUUCGUUAUUUCAAAUAUUGCGUAGCACACUUUCUAUAUUUUUUUUUAAUAUAAUUUUUUAGAGUCUUUUAAUAAAUCUUUUCGUUUCUUUCAUAAUGCCUCAAUUUUUUUCAAAUCAAUUUCUUUGUUGUAGUCUUUAUUCAAUAGAUUCCAUAAAUUUUGAGAGUUGCCCUUGAAUUGAGUUAUUAUUUAUUGUUAUGAUUUUACUACAAAAUUUACAAUUUCUUAAUAUUUUGCACAUUUUUCUUGUGUCAUAACUUUGAUAUUCCGACCCUUAAUAGAAAUUUCUAAUCGUGACACCAUAUGUUGAGACGUACACAGUUGUGAUAAUAAUUUUUACUCAAAAAAUAUUUUAUUUUAUUGAACUUAUUAACCAAUCUAUAUUUAUAAUAAAUUAAUCAUAUUUAUGUUAUAAGUCUAAUUCAUAAUUAAAAUAAGACUUAUAAAUAACAUUAAAAAAAUUAAAUAAAUAAUAAACUUGAAAUUUUCCAAAUUCCUAAAAUUCUUUUGAUUUUACUUCAGGUGGAAUUAAUAUUUUCAAUAUGUUAAACUUAUUAAAAAAAUUCUAAAAUUAAAGUUAUAGUUAAGGAGGGUUUAAGCCUUGUUUGGGAUGACAUUUAGCUAUUGCUAAACUAAUUAAUAUUGUAUUAUUUUUAUGUUUAAAAAAAUAGUUAAAUAAAAAUUAGUUAAGAGUUUUAUCCAAGUUAGGUCAGUCCUUUAAAUGCUGGCUUUAGCUUUUGAAAAGCUCUCCCAAAUAGGACUUAAUAAUAAGUGUCAUUUUGGCAGGUUGCAUGUUGAGUGGUAUGAAGCCGCAAAGUAGGAAGAUGAUGGCGUUCACAUUUGAAUCAUAAGAGUAAAGAACAGAGAAUAAGUAGGUAAAUUAAUUAUAUUGUUCAUUUGAUCUUUUUAUUUAUUUAUUUAUUUUUAUAGAUAUAGAGUUAUGACAAAAAAGGACAAAAAAAAAGUGAUUUAAAUGAUACAUACUUAAUUAUAGGUAAUUUAUCUAUUGUUGGACCUUUAACCUAUGUUUGAUUCUCAAAAAAUUUGAGAGAAAAUGUAUGUAUAUGAAAGAAAAUAGAGAAGAAAAAUAGUAAAAAAAAAAUGAAGGAAAAUAAAAUAUAGAUUUAAAGUUAAUAAAUUAAUUUUAUUUACUACUUUAAAUUUAUUUAACUUAGUUUAACUCCUCAUUUAAAAGAUUAAAUAAUUUGAAAAUAUUUAAGUUUUUAGCUUAUUUUAAUUAUAUUUUAUUUUCUUUUAUGUUUUUUUAUAGUACAAUCAAAUAUAAGAAAAUAAUUUUUCUUAUUAUUUUUUUUUUCUUAGUAUUUUUUAGGAAUCAAAUAUAAACCUUAAGGAAUAAAGGGUACUUGGUGUAACCUUAAAAAUUUUAGUACUAAUAAUUCUAAAAAAACUUUUGGAUAACCAAAUAAUCUUUCAUGGAGUUCCAAACCUCGGGUUACAACAAUCAAUAUUGAAUAAAUUUGUAGUAACAUCAAAAGAAGUUAAUAAGAAAUUAACAUUAAUGUUUAAUUUUGAUAAUACCAAGAAAAUAAAAAUAAUAAAUGAGAAAGUAAUUAUAUGGUUUGAUAAUGUGUCGAUAUUAUGGUAGAGAGGAAAUCAAUUCAUUAUAUUUAAAGAAGUAAUUACAUUAUUAAAACUCUCAAAUCUACGUGAAUAAAUCUAUUUUUAUAACAAAAUCUCAUAUAUUUCUUAAAAUUAUGCAUAUGCAUGUUGCUCGUGGAGGAAUCUAUCCAAAUAAAUUAAGGUUGGUGGAUACAAGACAAAUAUAAGUGACGUAAGACGGGACGUAAUCAAUCAUCCAAGUGAAACCACGUGUGUGAACUGUGAAGCACAAGAUUAUGGGUUACUCACCCCUUCAACUUCAUGUGGAGAAGAAUUAAUUUUGAAUUUUAUGCUCCAGCCCAUGGCCUGAAACCUAUUGGUCUCACUGUCAAUGCUGUCCUUUUUCGAAUUUGAUGACGCGAGGAGGGACGUAUGCGAUGUACGGGACAUGGUUAUAUUAUUAUACCUUAAUUAUGUUCAUUUGUACAUUUACAUAUACAAACUUUUUCUUUUUUCUUUUCUUCUCUUAAUUAUUUAUUUAUUUUUUAGUUUUUAUCUUUUACCUUUUUUCAGUUUUUUAUUUUUUUAUUUUUUUUAUACAAUUAGUAUACCCUACAGACUUCCAAAUCAAGAAAUUAAAAUUAAUUUUGAGAAUUAUUUUCAUGAAUAAAAUCAUAUUUAGAAACUUAAAUAUAACACUAUAUACUUAUUAUAUAUAAUACGAAGAUUCUCAACAUAAUCCUUGUAUUUUGAAUUAUUAAUUAAAACACUUUAUCAUAAAACACCUUAAUUUUACUGUAAAAAUAAUUAAUUUUUAGAGCAAAUUUAUAAAAAAAGAAAAAAGCUAGACAUGUUCUUAAAUUUUUAAGGAUAACUAAAGGCUGACCAAAUCCGGCAAAAGCACGUGAGAAAAAGCUUUCACAAGCAAAAUCAAUCUAAGGCGUUACCUUUAUUGCUAUUUUUCCUUUUUAUCCCAAUGUAGGCAGUGAAGUAGAAUUUUUCUGACUCUGGAUUCUUUGGGCAGUCCCAAGAUUUGGACUCAAAAGAGUCUUGGGUCAUGGGGAGAGGAGCCGAGCCUAAGGAUUCAUGUCAAGUUAAAUUAUUUGCAAAGCAGAAAGGUUAGACAUUGGAAGCAAAAGGGCGGUGAGCACAGCUAGAAAAAGUGCUUUAUCGACACAUGCUUUUGUUAAAGAGCAAUAUCAUAUCUUUCCACGAGUUUAGACACUUUCCUUCUCUUAAAUCAUAAUAUGUGGAUAUCACAAAUAUUACUUUACGUGUCACUGACUCAACCCCAGAAGUAUCCACCAAAGAUCUCUUUUUUAAUCAUAAGGCUUAAUUAAUAAUUUAGUAAAUUUAAUAAUCAUUUUUUUACAGAUAAUUCUUCAUGGGAAACUCAUGAAAUGACAUGUGAACUGUUUUGUGAAUUGGGUAUAGAUUGAUUAUCUAUAAUUAUAACCGAGGAAGCAUGGAAACCCAGAUUCAAACCGACAUGCCACGUCCCUCCAACUUCUUUAAUGGUACGUGUGGUCACUUUAUAUUGACUCUCAAGCACCAGGACAGACAGAGCCAAGUUGCAUUCACAUUACAAAUCAUUCAAUCAGAUCAGCAAAUGGGCAAUCAAUAUACCUCAAAGGUUCCUUUUUCUCCAUCUAUAAAUAGGGGUUACUCACACUUCACUCAUCCAUCCCUCCAGCAAACAAGCUUCUUUUGAGUCUCUCAUUGCUUCCCAGUUUUCAUUCCCCUAAAGUAAUGGCUUACUCCAAGACGUUUCUCCUUCUGGGUCUUCUAUUCGCUGUUGUCCUUAUCCUCUCCUCUGAGGUGUCGGCCAGAGAGCUAGCCGAGGCUGCACAUACCCGUGAGUUUCCCACUUUUUUUUACACACUUGUUAUAUCAAUUUACAGCUGAUGUACUGUGACUAAUUCAACUAAUCCAAUUUUUUUUUUUUGUUCUAAUGACAGAAGGGAGUGUGGAAGACGCUAAGUCCUGGGGACAUGGGCAUGGCCAUGGACAUGAACACGAGCAUGGCCACUGGGGACAUGAACAUGGGCACGGCCAUGGGCAUGGGCAUGGGCAUGGACACCACGGCCAUGGUGGUGCUGGUGAGACUGUGGAGAAUGAAACUGAAGCUGGCGAGAAUUAGAUAGCAUUUCUAGCUGCUGUAUUUUCACGCCCAUGGGUGGAAGUAGGUUGUGUGGUUUAUGUGAGUUUGUAUGUGAAUAAGGCAUGUGCUUGUCAGUGGUUGCCACCAAUGUUCCUCUAGGAAGAUGGUUGUGUUGCUUUGACAAGAUGUUAAAGCAUGUGUGAAACUUGCAGAUGUCAACUUAAUUAUUGUCCUGAAAUUAGAACUUUUUCCAAGUCCUUUGUCUCUAUAAGCAAAGUAAGCAAAAUAAGUAAGGUAAAAGCAGAAAGAUCAAACAGGAUUUCUCUGCAUAAUUAAGUAUCUCCAUUGAUCUUUUUUAAAUGAAGACUAAAUAUUUGUGGGUUCAGACCUCUUUACAGGUAUUUGUGGGUUCUUGAUUUCAUUGUUCCAUAUGCUCUUACUUCUCAUUGAAAAAAAGUUUUAAGUUAAAUUGAUAAUUAAAUAAUAAGUUUUAAGAUAAUAGAAUUUAAUUUAAAAUUAAUGAUCUUAAAUCAUUAAAUAUUAAGCAUGACCAUAUUAAUCCCACCAAACAAAGUAGUUGGCCAUAUAUGAUUUGCGUUUACCCAUAAUUGAAUAUUGAUUAAAUCAUGUUUAAUAUAGUGAAAUACGUAGAUAGAAAUGAACAAGUAUAGUGAUACAGCUUUGUUCUAAUAGACAUAACAAGGAAAUGAAUACAAAUAGUAUUUUCACCAUCAUAUUGUACAAAAUCAAAUACGUGGGAGAAUCCAUCCAAAGGAGCAACACAACAGAGUUAGCGAUAAGCUUGAAGAACACUUGUAAAGUUGGUGGACAUAAGGACAAAUAUAAGAUGACGUGAGAGGGGACAUCAUCAUUUUUGUAUCUGUCACGUGAGUAAAGUCGAGUCAUAAAGAAUGCUGCCCAAUAGAUGUAGGGCACCAGCCCAUAAACUGCAUGCAUAUGAAGUUGAAUGUUAAAGCUCAACCCCAGCACCUAUCAGCUAUGGGUCGGUCACUCAAUUUUUUGGGACUGGGUGAAGUGAGCAGGGACGUAUGCGAUGCAUAGGACAUGGUUGGAUAUUAAUUUGCAUGAAAUUUUUGAGCUCCAAGCCUGCAACUUGAUAUGGUAAUAUGUAAACACUGAAAAGGAAAUGUUAAACUAACAUAUGAUAAUUACCAAGCAAAAGAUUUGGACCGUUUAAGAGGAGACUAAAAAUAUGUAUGUGCAAUUCCCUGAUUGAUGAUAUCUUUAUAAUAGGUAUCGAAAAUGGUAACUACGUAGAUCCAAAGAAUUAGGAUUAGAGAUGGCAUUACGGCAACUUAGCUUUAUCCUUGCCCACUUCAUUUUGCAGUACUCUACAGAGAAGAACAAAUUAAGCUGGUCCUAUCCUACAUCGACAUGGUAUUCGGGCCACUACCCCAUGUAAUAGCAUAUUUUGUCCAGAUGGCAAAUUUUGAUGGCUUACAAGAAUUUGUGAAACUUCUUUUGUGGCUGCUAUUGCGGGAAAUUAAUCAAAUGGGAGCAUUGUGGGCUGUCUGAGUAUAGUUUUUCUACAUUUCCUUUUCUACACUUGUAUCCAAAAAUCACCUUCUCUGGUAUCCUUCUAUUUGAGGACUCCCGAGUACUUUUUCUUCUUUCCCAACACCUUAUCCCUUUCUCAACAUUAAAAGCCAUAGUCUGGAGUUCAUCAGGGUUGAAACCCUCCAAGUUUUGCAACCCCACAAAGAGGGGGAGCUUGCAAAUCACAAGACUAUUAUUUGUUAGAUUAAUUAAAGCUGAUGAAUUUUAACAUGUUUUGUGAUUUGGGUGUAGAUUAAUUAUAUGAAGGAGGCAUCAAAAGUAACAGGUUGAAACAAACCGACAAGCCACGUCUCUAGAAUUUCUUUAAUGGUAUGGUUAGACAAAAUCUUCACUCUGACACACCAAGAUGAGAACGUGUACCCAUUCACAAUAGGAAUCAUUCAAUCGCGUCAGAAAAUGGACAAUCAGUCUCUCUGAAGCUCUCCCUUUUUCCAUCUAUAAAUGCGGGUUACUCCCACUGCACUCACUCAUCCAUCCCUUGAGCAAACAAUCUUCUUGUGAGUUUUUUUCAGUCUUCGUUCCCCCAACAAAAUGGCAUACUCCAAGGUUUUUCUCCUUCUUGGCCUUCUGUGUUCUGUCGUUCUUGUCCUCUCCUCUGAGGUGUCAGCCAGAGAGCUAGCUGAGGCUGCUCAAACCCGUGAGUUCCCCACUCUUUUAGACACUUUGUAUGCAUCACUUGCUACUAUGCACAUUCUCUUGAGCUGCACAAUAGCACAUGCCAGUCAAUGGUGUUUUUGCUCUAACUGAUAGAUUAACAAAUAAGCAAAGUACCUUUCUAAUUAUAAUUAAACCAUGGAUAUAUCUUGGAGAAUUUCCUCACCACUCCUUAGCAGAAUCAAUACCGUGACUAACUAAUAACGCCCGGCCUUUUUUUACUCUUUCUAAUGGUAGAAGGGAGUGUGGAAGAAGCUAAACACUGGGGACAUGGACACGGGCAUGGACACUGGGGACAUGGACAUGGGCAUGGUCAUGGCCACAGGCAUGGACACCAUGGCAAACCCGGACAUGGUGGUGCUGCUGAGACAGAGGAAAAUGAAAGUGAAGCAGGCGAGAAUUAGGCAGAAGCACUUCUAGCUGCUGUAUGUGCACGCAUACACCGUGCAAAUAAGGUUGUGUAAUUUACGUAAGUUAGUGUGUCAAUAAGGCAUGUGUGAUCAGUGGUUGCCACUAGAGUCC